UGGUGUAAGGUAUGCAUUCCUUGGUCCUAAUGAAACUUACCCUGUCAUUGUGAGUAGUGAAUUUACUGAAAAUGAGCUAUCUGAACUUUUGAAAACACUUAAAAGAUUUAGAAAGGCAAUAGGUUACUCACUAGAUGACAUCAAGGGGAUAUCACCCUCUUUGUGCAUGCAUAGGAUACAUCUUGAGGAUGAAUCAAUGACUUCUAUCGAGCAUCAAAGAAGGUUAAAUCCUAACCUGAAGGAUGUUGUAAAGAAAGAGAUUCUUAAACUCCUAGAUGCUGGUGUUAUUUACCCUAUCUCAGAUUCUAAAUGGGUAUCACCUGUGCAUGUUGUACCAAAAAAAGGUGGUAUCACUGUGAUCAAGAAUGACAAGGAUGAAAUUGAUACCAACAAGAACCAUCACAGGUCAUAGAAUGUGCAUUGAUUACCGAAAACUAAACUCUGCAUCUAGAAAUGAUCAUUUUCCACUACCAUUUAUUGAUCAGAUGCUUGAGAGACUUGCAAAUCACCCAUUCUAUUGUUUCCUUGAUGGGUACUCAGGAUUUUUCCAAAUCCCCAUACAUCCCAAUGAUCAAGAGAAAACGACAUUCACAUGUCCCUAUGGUACCUUUGCAUAUCGAAGAAUGCCAUUUGGACUAUGUAAUGCUCCAGCCACCUUUCAAAGGUGCAUGAUGUCAAUUUUCUCUGAUCUGAUUGAGGAUGUUGUGGAGGUAUUCAUGGAUGAUUUCUCUGUCUACGGAUCUUCGUUUUCUGCUUGUUUGUCAAAUUUGUGCAGGGUCCUACAGAGAUGUGAAGACACCAACCUUGUGCUGAAUUGGGAGAAGUGUCACUUCAUGGUCAAGGAAGGGAUUGUGCUGGGACACAAGAUUUCAGAGAAGGGGAUUGAGGUGGAUAAAGCCAAAAUCGAUGUUAUGGUUGGUCUGCCUCCACCAAGGACAGUGAAAGACAUCCGGAGUUUUCUUGGUCAUGCUGGAUUCUACAGGAGGUUCAUCAAGGAUUUCUCCAUGAUCACUAGACCUUUGACCAGGCUGCUGUGCAAGGAAGCUACCUUCAGUUUUGAUGUGGAAUGUCUACAAGCUUUCAAGAAGCUGAAAGGUGAACUCGUUAGUGCCCCAAUUGUCCAGCCACCUGAUUGGGAUCUCCCUUUUGAGAUCAUGUGUGACGCCAGUGACUAUGCUGUGGGAGCUGUUCUGGGGCAGAAGAAAGAUGGCAAAACCCAUGUGAUCUAUUAUGCCAGCUAAACCCUCAAUGAUGCCCAGAUGAAGUAUGCCACAACAGAGAAGGAGAUGCUGGCAAUUGUUUUUGCCUUUGAGAAGUUCAGGAGCUACUUGGUUGGGUCUAAAGUCAUUGUCUACACAGAUCAUGCCGCCUUGAGACACCUUUUGGCCAAGAAAGAUGCAAAACCCAGGCUUUUGAGGUGGAUCCUUUUGCUCCAAGAGUUUGAUAUGGAGAUCAAAGACAAACCUGGAGUUGAGAAUGGAGUAGCUGAUCAUUUGUCCAGGUUGAGGAUAGAGUCUGGUGUCCCUAUUGACGAAGGACUUCCUGAAGAGCAGAUCAUGGCUAUCGAAGCAGUGAUAGCAGUUUGUGAGACUGGUAGGAAACUGGAAGAGGUCAAAGCAACAGAGGAGAAAGAACCUUGGUAUGCUGAUUUGGUGAACUACCUAGCCACAGGAAGAGAACCUUUGAAUCUUGUAGGGUAUGCCAAGAAGAAGUUCUACAAGGAUGUGAAAAGAUAUUACUGGGACGAACCCUACCUCUACAUUCUCUGCAAAGAUCAGCUUUAUAGGAGAGUGGUUGCAAAUGAGGAGAUUGAUGGGAUCCUUGCACAGUGUCAUGGAUCAUCCUAUGGAGGUCACUUCGCCACCUUCAAGACAGUUGCAAAAGUAUUACAAGCUGGAUUCUGGUGGCCACACAUGUUCAAGGAUACACAAGACUUCGUUUCAAAGUGUGAUUCUUGCCAAAGGAGAGGAAACAUCACCAAGAGGAAUGAGAUGCCUCAAAAUCCAAUCCUUGAAGUUGAAGUGUUUGAUGUCUGGGGUAUUGACUUCAUGGGACCAUUUCCAUCAUCUUUUGGCAACAAAUAUAUCCUUGUGGCUGUUGAUUAUGUCUCCAAAUGGGUGGAAGCCAUUGCAAGCCCCACCAAUGAUGCUAGAGUUGUAAUCAAGAUGUUCAAGAGCAUUAUCUUCCCAAGGUUUGGAGUUCCAAGAGUUGUAAUCAGUGAUGGAGGUUCCCACUUCAUUAACAAACUGCUUGAGGGACUUCUCAAGAAGAACGGUGUGAAGCACAAGGUGGCAAGUCCUUAUCAUCCCCAAACAAGUGGCCAAGUUGAGAUUUCUAACAGGGAGAUCAAAUCUAUCCUGGAGAAGAUUGUGGGGAUUACAAGGAAGGAUUGGUCUAAUAAGCUUGACGAUGCACUUUGGGCUUAUAGGACAGCGUACAAGACACCACUGGGUACCACACCUUUCAACCUAGUGUAUGGGAAAGCUUGCCAUUUGCCAGUGGAGCUUGAGUACAAGGCACUAUGGGCAAUAAAGUUGCUGAACUUUGACAUCAAGAGUGCCAAGGAGAAAAGGCUCUUUCAGCUACACGAGCUUGAUGAGAUAAGAAUGGAUGCUUUCGAGAACUCAAGAAUCUACAAGGAGAAGACUAAGGCUUUCCAUGACAAGAACAUCCUGAAGAGAGAGUUUAAAGAAGGAGACCAAGUUCUUCUCUACAACUCUAGGCUGAAGUUGUUUCCAGGAAAGCUUAAGUCAAGGUGGUCCGGUCCUUUCAAGGUCAAGGAGGUUAGACCAUAUGGAGCAAUAGUUUUGUGGAGCACUGAUGGAAGAGACUUCACAGUCAAUGGACAAAGGGUUAAGCUCUACAUGGCUACUGCACCAGAGGAAGAUGGGGUUUCAACUCCACUGUCUGAUCCUACCCCGGCCUAAUCUAAAAGGAGGCAAAGUCAAGCUCGGGACUUAAAACAAGCUCACUUGGGAGGAAGUCCCAUGCGUAUCCUUGUACAUAUUGCAUUGGUAUUUCCAUUUUUCAUCUUAUUGCAUAAAAAAAAAAAAGAGAGAGAGAAGUUGUGUGCAGGUGCUUGAUCGGUUCAUUUUGAGCAGGAGUCGUGCGUGGGAGCGAGGUCUCACAGCGACACCUCAAGGUCGCUCCAGCUGGGAGCGAGGUUUCGAGAGCGACACUCCAAGGUCGCUCGCGUUUUCGUCGUCGGAUCAAGAAAAAUCGCCUCAGAGCGAGGUCUCGGAGCGAGGCCGAAGGGUCGCUCCAGCUGGGAGCGACAUUAUGGGAGCGACACCUCGGAGUCGCUCGCGUCUUCGACGAAACAGAGCUCAAAAACUGACCCGGAGCGACGUCCUAGAGCGACGCCUUGAAGUCGCUCCAGCCCAGAGCGAGGUUUCGAGAGCGACACUCCAAGGUCGCUCGCGGUUUUGUCGAAACACGACGCGAGGAAACGACUCGGGAGCGACCUUUCCCAGCGACACCCUCACGUCGCUCCCGAACCGGUCCAGGUAAGUUUCCUAACUCUAAACCCCGGUUUGAUUCAAGUAAACCGACCCUAGACCACCCUAAACCGAACCGGACGACCCUAAACCUACCCCAACCCCCGCGACUCUAUCUCUCUCACUCUCCCCUCCUCUCACAAACUCACAAACUCUCUCAAACUCACCCACACCAAAAAUCCCAAAACCUUCUCAAUUCUCACCCAAAUCAACUAGUUCUUGUUUCUAAACCAAGCUUUCGCCCUUGUAGCCUAUUCCUCACCACCCAUUCACCAUUUCCUUUCAUCCAGAGCAAGGUAUUGAGUUUUUAAAUUCAAAUUCGUAGGUCCAUGAGCCCUAGAAUUUGAAAGUCGAAAUUUGGUCACUUUCUUGCUAGAUUGUGGUGAAAUAGACUAGGGAAAGUUUAUCUAUCAAGUUGGGUUGUUGAAUUAAUGGUGAAAUUGAGUUUAAUUUGCACUUUGGCAAAAUUAGGGUUCAUGGAAUUAGGGAUUUUUCGAAUUUGACCUUAAUUGGGUGAGUUUGUGGGUGAACUAGAUGUGUUAAGGUGUUACAAGAGUGAGAAUUGUUGCAUUGUGUUGAACUUGAGUUUAAAUUGAUAAUUCAUUUGUUAAGUUCACUUUUGCAAUUUUCUCUUGCAAAAUCCUGUUUUUCUUUACUUCCAACUACUUAUCCCUUUUCAAGUUUUUUACUUCUUCAGGUGAAAAUGGUUAAGAAGACAAAGGGAAAGUUGGAAGCUGAGAAGCAAGAAGCUGAAAGAAAAGAGUUUGCAUUAAGAGGAAAAGCUUUAUCCUGCGAGCCAACUGGGUCAGGGACGCAGAGAACCGUUUGACAGCAGACUUUGGCUGCAAGGAAAUCGCAAGAACAAGAGAAGAGGGCUGGGAAAAGUGUAGCAGUUCCCACUCAUGAGGAGAGUGAAACUGAGAGUGCUGAUGAGCAGGCACCUACGAAGAAAGCCAAGAUGUCCAAAGGAAAAGGGGUUGCUGUUGAUCGAGACAGGGCAAAAACUCCAUCUGUGGAGGAGCUGUAUGAUCACUUGAAGAAUGGGGUCACUUGGGCUCCAACCAGGUUCGCCGACCUCGAUUUGCUGAAGGAGUUGGGCCUAGAAUCCGAUAUUGAGGCGAUGCUGGGACAUUUGAAGAUGCCAAAACUCCUCACCAUGGCUUAUCUUUUCUACAAGGAUGUCACUUGUCAGUUCCUAUCCUCUCUUGUGGUCACUUACCACGACACGGCGCAUGUGAGGCAAGGAUGGGGAAAAAUCACGUUCAAGGUCAAUGGAAGGGAAUACAACAUGAACUUCAAGGACAUUGGGAGGGUCAUGGGGUUCCAAGACCUAGAAGACCACUCACUUCCCAAGUGUGAGAACCUCCCCACAGAGCUUUGGAAGUUGAUCACUGGAAACAGGCACUCUACCGGAGCUGACAAGAACUCACACAUCCGACACCCGUCUGUACGCUACCUCCACAGAUUGCUAGUCCAUGCUUUCUACCCACGGAAGCAAGCUGGUAAUGUUACUGAGGAAGACAUGCGACUGCUCUGUCCGGCUAUCCGUCCUUACGCUCAACCUGGAGUGUUACCCCUUCCCAGCACUGAUAUCUAUGCUACCUUUGGGAUGGUCAGUUUCUUUGUGGGCCGUCUCGAACACUACAGAGACUGGGCGUGGUACACCACUGAUUCGCGCCCAAAGAUGGGGAUAGGCGGAAUGAUCACACCACUGCUCCAAUUUCUGAAUGUUCCCUUGGGAAAGGACGCAGCGGGGCCUAGGUUCAUUGAUGGCACCUACUUGAGGAUUGCCACCUAUUUCAGUGGGAUGUAUGGGAAGGACUACGUCUACCACUACUACUUGCAGGGCAAGCCAGUCGAGGUGGUUCUUCCAAACCGGAACCUGACGAGUUUAGAGAUACCAGGAGCUGUCAGCUUCAACAUUCCCCAGGAGUACUUUCUCGGAGAACACGGGCCUCUCGAUCCAAUUCAAGCAGCUUCAUCAAGGAGAAGGAGUGUCCCUACGCAACCUGACCCGCCUGUUGCAGACACGUCUGAGCAUAUCUAUGGACCUCCGCGCUACUACUUCAAGCCCCAUGACGGAGUCCUUCCCCCUGGAGCUCUCCGUGAUGCUCAUGACCACAUUGGUCGUCUCCAGAGGUGGAACAAAGCUCAGGACAGAACGAUAGCAAAGCUGAAGGAUAAGUGCAAGGCGCUCAGCAAGACUGUGAAGAAGCAGGCAAAGACUUCAGCCAAGUUCAUGAAGAAAGUAGCUGAUGUCUUAACUAGGGGAGGAAUAGCUGGAUGUAGCUCAGCCGAUUUUGCUUUCGCGAACACCUCAAACCCCCAGCCCCCACCCCCGCCUGAUGCUCUUGGCUUCCCCCUCACUGCUGCGCAGCUUCAGCGUAAGUGGAGGAACCCACCCACUCAACCUUCCACUUCCGGCAACAAAUCCCCAUCCCUCGCUUCUUCUGACAGUGAGCACGAGAUUGACGAGGUUGAGAGCCAGCCAUGGUAUGGAGGCUCCGGUUCAGCAUCCGGAACGAGGUUGAGAGCCAGCCAUGGUAUGGAGGCUCAGGUUCAGCAUCCGGUGGUUACUACACCACCUUCCCUCCUGACGACGACGAUGCUGGGGCAUCUGCCCCCACCUAUUAUCCAUAGGAGGUACUUCUUUCUCUCCCUUGUAUAUACCAUUUCAUUUUUGCAUAUUAGUUUUCUUCUCGGUAUCUCCUUCUUUCUUUGACAACACAGAGACUGUGUAACUCAAGUUUGGGGGAGGUACCAAGCAUUUGAUCAUGUUUGCUUUGAUUGUGUUUCAUUUGAGUCAUGCAUUGCACACCUAUUUGCAUAAAACAAAAAAAAAAAAAAAAGAUUUUUCAUUUAGUUUGCAUCAUUUGCACCAUUAGGAGAGUCUAGAGCAUAUAGGUUGCAUUCACUUGCAUUGGGAGCAAUGAUUUUAAAUGCCUUGUAAAGAACACUACGUUGCACCAUUGAGUAGCCAUGCACCUCUCGAAAAGACUUGUAUGUUUCGAGCCUUGAAAACUCUUCUUGAAACUUGUUGAUUGCUGAAACUCAGUCUUUGAAGCCAACUACAACCUUAUUAGAAAUGAAUGAACUUAAUGCUUCUUGCUUAGGGUCCCUUGUGUACUGAGUCAUGGCUAUACACACUGGAGUUGUCACAUCUUUUAUGCCAAUCUUUUUGACAAACUCUAGUGGUAGACCACUCCCAAAACCUUUCCUUCCUUUUAAGCUUUCAUUGUUUGAUGAGUGAGGCCUUCUUCGGAAAGUCUUACAUGCGCAUAAUGUUGAGAGUAUCGGGAACGACAAUGCUUGAUCUUCAUUUUUGCUAGAUUGGACACUCUUUUGUCUAGCUAUAGGUGGGAGGGUGAGUGUUGUGAUCAUGAUUUGGGAGAAAUGAAAAAUAAAAAGGAUAGACUCUUUGUGCUUAAGUGAAUUGAUUUUCUGGGAUAAGUAGAGAACCUCUAGCUCUAGUUUUGAAAAGUCUUGGCCUCCAACCUAAAAAAAAAAUAUAUAUAUAUAAAAAAAAAAAAAAGAAAUCGAAAAAAAAAAAAGAGAAAAGAAAGAAAAGGGGGCUAGCAAAGUUGUUAGGAGCUAAGAAAUGUUUUGAGGUUGUAGAAAAAUCCCUUGUAGAUUUCAAAAAGAAAGAGUUAAAGUUCUUAGGAUCUUUUGGUGAGAGAUGUGAGUUGGGUUUGACAUUUGGGAAUGAUUGUGUAAUUGUAUGUUUGGGAAAAGGGUAGAACAAUGGAGAUUGAGCAUUGUAUGCAUGAGUUGGUCCCUUUCUUAGAUAUAUUAUGUGCAAUGUCAAGGCUACUUGUUUUGAGAGUAAACCACCUUAAAGAUCAUAUGUUUUGAACCUCUGGAAUCACUUGAAUAAAAGCCUUCCCUUACCCAACCAAAUGACUUGGACCAACGGACCAUUUGCAAGAAUUCACCUGAUGUUUUGUGCUUAAUGAAUGUGAGAGUUGGUUGAUUUGAAUGUGUGGAUGCUUGAUGAUGAGUGUAGGGACAAAAGGAGUUGAGAUAGGCCUAGAGAAGCUAGAGUGUAAUAAAAGAGUGUGCUAAUUAUAUUUGCUAGUGGUGUUUCUUUUGGCUAUGAGCUCCCACCUUCAAAUCUCUCUCCCUAUGAGUUCUAGAAAGUUCACUUGUGGACAAGCAAAGAACAAGUUUGGGGGAGUUGAUAUCAUGCAUAUUUCCAUUGUUUUAUCCAUCCAUUCAUAUGCAUUUUGAUCAUAUAGAUUAGGAUUUAGUCAUGUUUAGGUUGCAUUUUGCAUACAUGAGUCCUUAUCAGGUAUUGGAGUAUCACAUGGAGUUCUUGGAGACGUUUGGGUGCAUUUGGAGCUCAAAAGAAGUGUUUAAAGUGAUCAGCGGACGAGCAACACACCGGAGCGACCUAACCGCAGCGACACGAUGAAGUCGCUGUGCCUUACCUCUCGGAGCGACCUAACCGGAGCGACGUCCUGAAGUCGCUGUGCCUUACCUCUCGGAGCGACCACGUUGGAGCGACGUCCUGAAGUCGCUCGCUCUUUUGACGAAACAGAGCUCAAAACUGAAGCCGGAGCGACCUCUCGCAGCGACACCCUGAGGUCGCUCCCGAAGCCCAGAGCGACGUGCUGGAGCGACUUGCCGAGGUCGCUGCGCGUCGCCUAUCUGCUCGAAUUCAUGUUUUCUCAAGGGCCUUUUUGUCAUUUUAUUAUGCACGUUUUUUAUUCUGAAAACCUAUGUUUUAAUACUCUGUAAGCCACCAAGAGGGGAUUAUCUUUGUUCUUAGAAAAACCACCAAAAACCUUUGGAAAGUCAUCUCUUUGAAUCAAUUGAUCAGUUUAUUAUUGAAAAUUCUGUGUUCUUAUCUAUUUCCUGUGUUUCUCUACAUGAUUAAUCUGAAAUCCAACAUGGGUUUAAGAGGAAUCAUGGAGAUUAGUGAGUAAUCACCUUUUGAAUUCAUGGGUUAGGGAGAUUGAGGGUGAUUAGGUUAGAACUAGGAUGUUUUAGUGUAGAUCAUUCAUAUUUCCUUGCUAGUUGAGUGAGCAUAAUGCAUUUUCUGAGUUGGCCACUCAGUAGUUGAACCUUAGGCAUUUCCCCCCGAAAGGUGUUCGAGGAAAUGCCCGAGACAACUCUUCUUAGCUUUUAGCAUACUUUGCCAAAGACAUUUGUUGUUAGAGGUGCUAAGAUAGCCAUUGGACUUGCUAGUUAUGAUUGCUUUCAUAUUAUUCAACCAAAGACAUUUGAUGUUUGAAUUGUGUUAAGUAAAUGAACAUUCAUCUAGACAUAGAGUUUGUUUAGGAUUGUGUCCAAGCUUAAGGUUAAUAGAUUGAUUGAUCGUUUGCCAUCUUUAGUUCGAAACUUGAUCACCCGAGGUCUAAUCCCUAUAUCCAUGAGUUCUCUUUUCCAAUAGUUAAGAAAGUAUCAUUUAGUUAUUUCUUUUAAUUAGUCAUAGUUUAAAAACCCAUCUAAAUCAUUGAUUGCACUUAGAUUAAGUGAUUACUUGCAUUCUCGGUGCUUUGAUAUCUCUCAGAACUGGUUCGACAAUCAUUUAUACUACAACAUUUGUCUUAGGAGCCUUGAAAACUCCUAACAUCAACCUACUCGCUGAUGUAGACGGCUUUUGCAGCAUCCCCAUGAAAUCUCCACUUCUCUUUCCAGUCGCCAACAAUGUUCUUAAGGCACUUCAUCGCCUUAUGGUUGUGGUUGAACGCCGUCUUCACUUGCUCGUUGACGGAAAUAGAAAAAAUUCAUUUUUGCUGCAAAAACAAUUCAUUAAUAAUUGUAACAAAUAAAUUGGAAAACAAAAUAGAUAAAAUAAAUUUUAAAAAUUAAAACUUACCGCAAAACACUUGAAGCAAGUCCUCCGAAUGUGGCCCGGUGUAAGACUCCAGUUCGGAUGCGGUUCAAUGAAGUAUGAUUUGAUGGUUUAUGAAACAGAUCGUCCAAGGCAAGUUUCCAUUAGAAACCUGCAAAAUUUGAUGAAAAAUUCAAUUAGAUAUAUAAUUAUGAUAAAUGAAGUAAAUCUGAAGAUAAUUAAAAAUAUAUAAAAAAUUCCCAAAAAGUGUUUGCUGGAUGAACGGGGUCGAUGCUGGGUAAACCUUUGCGACCGGGCAUUUGGAUCAGGUCCUCGACCGUAAACCUAGCAUACGGAGAAUCCGGUGGCACCAUCAAAUCCGGAUGGAUAACUCCCGGAACAGCAACAGGUGCUGGAGCAGUAUCAUGAGCUGGGGCAGCAUGAGAAGGUGGCUGAGGCUACAGAGGAUGCUGUGGAUGAGGCACAUACGGUGCAGGAGGCACAUACGGUGUAGAGGAGGCAUAGACUUCUGAGUCAUCUGCGGUGAUUUUCUCUGAGAUUGGCUCUCAUGGACAAAAUCCGGUGUGGAUACAGUACCAGAGCUAGAAGCUGAUGGAUCUUCCUGCCCACCAAGUAAUGUAGUCCUAUAGGUGGGUCUGUUCCUAAGUUUCUUCCUACCACCACCAGCCAUAUCGAUAAAUAUGUUUUAAAAUAAACAAAUUUAAAUUAUUAUUUGAAACAAUUUAAAUCCGUUAUUAAAAAAAUAAUCUAAUUUCGGAUAUAUAUAUGGAAUUUGAAUCCAUAGUAAAGUAGAAGUAAAAUUAUGACAAGAUAGGGAGGAUCCGCGUUUUUAAAGAUUACGUCGAUUUAGGGACGACCUGCGCUUUUAAAGAUUACGACGAUUUAGGUUCGACCCGUGUUUUAGGAAUCGUCGUAACGUAGAAGUAACGUUACAACGUCGUAGGGUCGAUUUUCCAAGAAACUGAAGGAAGUGCAAGGCCACCACAACAAUUUUUAUCCACUCCGCGUAGCUUUUCCUCGGCACUCCCUUCAGUUUCUUAGGAGGAAUGGGGUUCGACAAUAUAUAUGGAAUUUGAAUUCUUCGUAAACAAUAAAAAAAAAUUACGACUAGAUACGGUCUGCGUUUUUAAUGAUUUUCGACGAUUUAGGACGACCUGCAUUUUAAAGAUUACGACGAUUUAGGAUCGAUUUUCCAUUACGCGAAUUAGGGACGACCCAUGUUAAUUAAUUACGACGAGUUAGGGACAACACAUGUUUAUACCCUAAAACUAAAACCCCAAACCCCAAACUUAUAAAGUUAUAUAUACAUUUUACACUUCUAAACCCAAAACCACAAAGUCUCAUAACUUGUUUUAACAUGAUUUUUUUUUUAAAAACAUUAAUUUCAUACAUAAGCAACAUAAUGAAAACAAUGAGUCUAACAAUAUAAUGAAACAUAGAGUUGUUACAUAAUUAAGAAAUAUGAUAUAAUGAAAUUGACUCUUCAUCAAAACCAUCACUCGACUCAUCACUAGGAUCAUCAUUUUCUUUAGAUUCGUCUUGAUUGCCUUCAUCCGUUAUAUCGUCUUGAAGAUCUUCAUAUAUCGUGUUUUGCGGAUCAACAAGUAAGAUUUCAUCUAUAGGUUGUUCAGGUACUUCCACUUCAUUUACGACAUCUUCUUGCAAAGGCGGUUGGUCAUCACCGAUUACUCAGCCCCGAGAUGUAACUUUUAUAGCGGCUAACCAAGAUAUUCCAGAUUGGUUUUUCUUCGAAUAUGGAAUAAAACUAACUUGAUCUGUUUGAUAUGCCAAUAUGUAGGGUUUAAAUUUGUUGUACCUUCGUGCAGCAAUGAUAUCCACAACUCCAAACUUGAUAUAUCGAAUACCUCAAUUGACAGUGGUCGAACCAGUCAUAUUUUAGGAGGACGCAUUUCAUCUUCACCAAACCGGGGAAUUCCACUUCGAUGAUCUCUUGUAAGAUCCCAUAAAAAUCUGUUUCACCUUUCAUACAUAUUUCAUAGUUCACUGUUGCUCGCCGACUUAUACUCGUAAGUGUGAAAAGUGUGGCCUCGUCUGAAAUACAUAGGUGUUGUAGUGACCUUAGAGACCGGACCUUGUAUCAAUUUGUGAAACCACGUAAGAUAGAAUGGAUCAUGAUAAUCUACCUGUAAUUAUAUAUACUUUCAUUAAUAUUUAAUUUAAAUUACUAACAUAAUUAAUUCUAUUGUGAUAUGUACCUUUUUUUUAACAAUUUCACGAAGUGUUGCUCUUUUGUUUUGUUAAGAUCAUUUGUUGAUAUUCCUCGUAUAGCUUCUUCAACACGGGCAACGAACUCGCUGUUUUGCGAAAGAUCAUUACAUCAGUAUUGAAAUAAUUAUAUAAUUGGUAAAAUUUCAUACCGGAAAAAAUUAAAUUAAUUAAUUACCUUUCAAAUGACUGCAUCUCUUCGUAGUUAAGAAGUAUAUAUGUGUGGGCACUAUGAGCGUCUUCUGUCUUCUGUACUUGAUCACCAAACUUCUUUGAGUUUCUCACCUAAACGUCCAAUAUGACAGAAUAUGUCAGGAGCACAUGGUACAACCUAUGUCGGCAUAACACCACCAUCAUCAUAUCCGCUUGGAGCCAUUUUCUGUGUCCGGAAUUGUGACCCAAAAUAGUACGACGUGAAGUGAUAUAUUUCCUUACUCAAACUCCCAGCAACUAUUGAAUCUUCCACCCUUGCAAGAUUUUUUUUUCCUUUCAAAUGUUUCAUGGAUUGUUCAUAAGGAUGCAUCCAUCCUUUAUGAACAGGUCCACGAAUAAAUGCCUCGUAUGGGAUGUGGACAAGUAGAUGUUCCAUGAUGUCAAAAAAAUACGGAGGGAAAAUUUUCUCUAAAUUACACAUUAAGAUCGGGUUAUUCUCAUCAAAUUGUCUGAUGACAUAUUUAGUUAAGGUAUGUGUGCUAAGACCUCUGAAAAAAGCUACAAUUCCUGAAAAUAUUAGUGUACAAUGAAUUAGUAAGAUAAAUUUUAUACAAGAAGUAAAUAGUUAGUAAAGGUAUGUGUGCUAAGAUCUGUGAAAAAGCUACAAUGCCUGAAAAUAUUAAUUUAUAACGAAUUAGUAAGAUACAUUUUUAUACAAGAAGUAAUUAGUUUGUUACUUGCAAGUGCUUCGUCAACAGUAUUUGAUAGCAACUCCGCAAAUGCAAAUGGUAGUUGUCGUUGCAUAAACACAUGACAGUCAUGACUCUUUAUCCCUGAAAACUUUUACCCAUGGUCAGCACAUCUUGAUAGAUUUGCCACGUACCCAAAAAAAAUUACAUUUGAUGCCACCCACUUGAACAAUGUCACCUUCGCUUAUGCUGACAGUCUGAAAAUGGGAAUCAGAAUUUGCCCACUGUUUUUAGUAAGCAGAUAACUCCUAGAACAUAAUGCAGACAAGUCUAACCUUGAGUUCUUGUUAUCUUUUGUCUUCCCGGGGGCGUUCAGUAAUGUAUUGAUGAUGUUGUCAAAGAAGUUCUUCUCUAUAAGUAUCACAUCAAGAUUGUGUUGAAGAAGUAGAUCCUUCCAGUAUGAAAGUUCCCAAAAUAUACUAUUUGUGUGCCAAUUAUGAUGUGUCCCGUAACCAUCAGCCAUAUUUGCUGGAGUAUGCCAAUCACCCCCUUUGCGGACUGUUUCUUGUGCACCAUAAUAAUUAAUAUCCUUCUCGAUUUCCUCUCCAGAUAAAUAUGGUGGAGCGGUGUCCCGUACAACCCUUUUUGACCGAAACAAUGUCUUGUUCCUUUGGUAUGGAUGGUUAAUGGGAAGAAAUCUCUGAUAACAAUCAAACCAAGAUUUAUUCCUACCAUUCUUCAACUGAAAUGCGUUUGUGCUUCCCAUACAAUAAAGACAAGCUAGCCUAUCCUGUAUGCAGGAAAGUCACUGAUGGUUCACAAAAGAACUGUUCGCAUUGUAAAGUUUCUUCUCGUUGAACAAUCAAUUGUCUGCACCCUUGUUGACCACAACUCCUUGAAUUCUUCUAUCAAAGGAUGUGGAAAAACAUCGAGGGACCGUUUCAGAUUCUUAGGACCAUGUAUCAAUAUACUUAUGAAAAUGAAUUCACUUUUCAUACACAUCUCUGGUGGAAGGUUGUAUGGCGUCAGGAUGACUGGCCAAAGCAAGUAUUGUCUUCCAGAUAUUCCAAAAGGACUAAAGCCAUAUGUGCACAGUCCAAGAUAAAUAUUGCGAAUGUUGCUUGCAACAUCAGGAUGCACCGAAUUAAAGUGUUUCCACGCUUUUGCAUCUAAGGGAUGAUUGAUCUCGUCUUCCUUCUGAGUAUGUUCUGCAUACCAUCUCAUCGCCGCUGCAGUCUUUUUAAAUUGAUAUAAUCUCUUCAAAAUAUCUGUAAUAUGUAAGUACCACAUCCGCUGGUACGAUACCCUAUUUCGCCCGCGCCCUUGUGGUUUAUAUUGUGGCUUAUUGCAAAAUAUACACUCCAACAACUCUGCAUCUUUCCUUCAGUAGAUCAUACAAUUGUCUAUACAAACAUUUAUCUUCUCCGAAUGUAAGCCAAGACUGGUAACCAGUUUAUGAAUCUCAUAUUAAGAUUCAUCAGACAAAUUAUCUUCAGGUAAAUACUCUUUCAACAGCUCAGCCCAUGUAUUCAUAUAAACUUCAGGUAAGUUAUGAUUAAUUUUGAUAUUCAUCAUCCUAGCUGCCAAUGACAAUUUAAAAAGACAUUUUGUACAACCUUUGUAUAUUGGAUGAUUAGAUGUGUCUAGCAUUUCAUAGAACCUUUUCGCAUCCAAGUUAAGUUCCUCUACCUUUUCUACUUCUACAACAACUAAUGAGGUUGUUUCACGAAAUGCAUUUGUAACUAUAUCAUGCAUCCUAUCAUGAUAUGCAACAUGAUCCUCCUGAGGGUAACUAAUUUCAGGAUGCAAAUGACUUGGUUCUUCCCUAUUACCACCAGCUUCAAAGUAAGUAUUACUACUAGCUUCAUUCCUACUAUCACCCUCUACAAGGUGAAACCAAAUGUAGUAAUGUGGGGUAAAUCCUCUAUUUACUAAAUAUUCCCAAACCAUUUCGCUACGAGCAAACUUGAUAUUCUUGCACUUACGACAGGGAUAACAUUUUACCGUUUCCGGCCUGGUAUAUGAAUAUCUCUGCCCCGUUGAAAAAUUCUUUUGUCACAACUCCUGCAGAAUCUCUAUGUGCAUACAUCCAACUCCGCAGCUUAUAGAUAUUGCCACCCUGAGACAUUUUUUAACUAUUUUUUUGUUCAUAUUUAGAAUCAGAGAGUAGUGCAUAUUUGUAAGAAAUUUUUGAGUUUGGUAGGUGGAAAUGUUGCAACAAAUUUACUGCAUCAUAAAAUUUGCUAAAACUUAACAACUAUAUUACUACCAUUUUUACCAACUAUACAUACAAACAUUUAUCACGUUCUCACCAACCUUCUCAAUUUUUCGUAACUUAGUCGUUAAUUAGAUGCAAAUAGUUGGAUGUAAUUUAGUCGUAAUAUAACAACAACUUUACGACCAAUGUAGACGGCAUCAUAAGAACGUCGUAAUUUUACGUCUACUUUAUGAAAAAUAAUAAUUUCGUCAUUAAGUAGAUGUAAAGUCAUCGUAAAAUUACUACCACACCUUUGUUGUCGUAAAGCCCAGUCGUUAUGGCUCUAUUUUGUUGUAGUGAUAGGACUAACGUCCGAAGUACUACAAUAGAAUCAGAGGAAGUUCACAACUUGUCUUCACCUUUUCCUAAGUCAGCCACGCAUAUCCAUAUCUAAAAGAAGAAGGAGAAGGAUGCAGUCACACAACAAUACAUGUAUUCUCACAUUCAAUAUAAGAUGGGAAAAAUUAGAAAUCAGAAAUGUCAUAUUGAGUGAUAAUGGGAGAAAAAAUAAUGAGAUGUAGAUCAGAGAAUAAAUUACAACUAGGUUAAGACUUGCGCCUUGCGCAUGAUGAACAUUAUAAUAAAAAUGAUUUUGUGUAUUAUAUGUUUUAACAUAUUAUGAGAUAAUACAUAUGUAUUGAAUAUUAAAAGUUAGUAGCUAUUACUUAUAUAAUUAAAUUGGUGCGAACAUAUAAAUAAAUUUUAUUAAUCCAAAAAAAUAUUUUUUUCUAUUUGAUAUGGUAUAUAAUUAAGUUUAAAUGAUGGUAACAUACAUAUAGUAUUUUAAUAUUAAUAUUUAUUAAAUGAUGCUUUCUACUCAUAUGUUUUUUUGAUCAUUUGUAUAUUUUAUAGCCAAAACUUUAAAUUACUGAUAGCAAAAUUUUCAUUGUAGAAUUAAUAGUUUAAGAAAUUUAUAAUAUUUUAAAAAUUAAGUUGUCAAUAUUUUUUAAAAGUUUUUAUCAAAAGAAAAUUUGUUCAAUGUAAAUUUCAAAAUCAAAAUAUUUAUGUAUUUUUGUAUGGCAUAUAGUUUAUANNNNNNNNNNNNNNNNNNNNNNNNNNNNNNNNNNNNNNNCAUAUAGUUUAUAUAUAUAUAUAUAUAUAUAUAUAUAUAUAUAUAUAUAUAUAUCUUUUAAUCUUAAUACUUAUUAAAUGAGACUUUCGACUUAUAUGAUUUUGUAAUCAUUUGUAUCAUGUUAUAAUAAAAAAUUUAAACCAUCGAUGAAAUUUUUUGAAUAUGAAACUUUUGACAGUUUUAGUAAUUUAUAAUCGUUUUAAAAAAUUCAAAUAUAAUAUAUACAUAAAAAUUUAAUUUUUUUGUUAUAUGGUUAAUAUCAUUGUUUAAUUCAUUUAAUAGUUUAAAAUUAAACAAAUAUAAUAUAAAAUACACUUAUUUUUAUUAAAUAUUUAUUAUUCAAAAUCAUUAACUUUCAUAUAUACUUUAGUCACAUUAGGCAAUUCUGUAAUUUUAUGUAAGGAAAUAAUGAAGCACAUUAAUAAUGUACUAGACUUUGAUCUGCGCGCCUACGCGGAUGUAUUUUUUCAAAAUAUGUUGUUAUUUAUUUUUCAUGUCACUAAUAUAAAAACCAGAAUUUAAAUUUGUGUUUGAAAUUGGGCCUUGUAUUGUAUUUUUCUUAUAUAUAUAUUGCAAACAUUUUUUAUAAUGGCUAUUGGAAAAUGUUUUAGUAAAAAUUAAUUUUUGAAUAUAUGUAUAUCUUUAAUCAAUUUUUGAGAUAAAAUCAAUUUUAAAUUAUUAUUUUUCAUUUGAAAUAUGUAUAUAAAUUUUAAAUUUUUUUUUAAUCAUUUUAGACAAAGGAUGUUUUUAGAUAAUUAGAUUGGCCCAUUUCGUAUAUUUUAAAGAUGACCGAGAAGAUAGUUUCUCAUAAUAUAAUGAACUUCUAGUUUUUUUUAAUAAUGUAAGUCUAUUACUUUUUGUUUGUUUUAAUAUAUUGCUAUACAUGUUUCCAAACAACAUUAUACUUCUUAUACUGCUAUCCAUGUUUCCAAACAAUUCUCAAAUGUACUUCAAUUUUAAUAAUAUAGGUUUAUGGUUAGUUUAAUAAAAAACUUAUUACAUAUUUCGAUGGACCAACAUAUUUCUCUAAAGAUUCUAAGAAUCAUUCUAGUGAUGACACGUAGGUAAAAAAAAUAUUGUAAUGCUUCUCAAUUAAUAUAUAAGGGAUUUGUAAACGAAUUAGGCGAACGACAAAGGCAAGAGACGAAGACCGGUGGCAGUACAUCGGAGCAACCGAUGGUGGUUGUUUGUGGCGGAAGCAAGGCGGCUCAGAUAUAGAGUUUGGGUCGCAUGACAGAUGGUAGCUCAGAAUCUCUGCAUGGUUUUAUUAUGUUUCUCCAUAAUAAAAAGUACUAUAAUUAAAAAAAUAAUAAUCUUAAGGUUUGUCUUAUAUAUGGGCAUUCGAGCAAAAAUAUUUUAAUUCUCUACUGGGGAUAGGGACUUACAGUGGGAAUGAGUUUUCGCUAUUAAUGAUCCCACAAUUGUAAAUUGUUGAAAGACUCAUGCAAGAGACCUAGAUGCCUCAUGUAUACCUUGACCUAUAUGUAGUUAAGCUAUUUAUACAAUCUCGUCUUUCCACAUCUGUUCGCCUAGAGCCCCUACACCGGUAAGUAACAUAAUCACAUAGAUAGAGAAAUGCAUUGUUUGGUCGUCGCGAAAUCUAUAUCAUGGUAUAAUUGACAAAUCAAAUAACAUUAUUUAUAGGACUCAGUGUUAUAUAUAUAUAAUGAGACAACAUAAUCGUAUAAUUGAGAUCAUCAUUUCACGACCGUUGUUGGUUUUAUUUCAAAUAUUGCCAUGGGAUUUGGACACAAAGUUUAUGUGUCUUUGUACAUAUCUACAUCUGAACAAAAGGUUUGGUCUUCCGUUUCGGAGUCAAGAUUUUAAAUUAUAAUAAUUAUAUGAAGUUUCGUUUCCGUUCUAUGAUAUUAUAUAUUAUAUGUGGCCUAAACAAGUGCGAAAAUACUCAAAGUUUAUGCGUAUCUUAGGACAUGAUUAACCCUGGUCUUUUAGCCGGGAUUCUUAACUUAUGAUUUGAUAUUUUUUUGUUUUUUUUUCUUAUACUUUUUAGCUAAGAAUCGGCUCUUAUAUCUCUUAUUUAAAAGAUGAUUCUUAAUUUUUUUUAGUAAAAUUCUAACAAAAACUAAGAACCAUCUCUUAACCGAAGCUAAGAAUUCCAGUCAAGAGACUGGAAUUAAUGAUGGUCUUAGCUUUCAUAAACAUUAAGAAAAUAAUAUCCACGUGAUGUGUUUUGUGUGAUCACUAAAAGAAAAAAUUAAGCUCGUCUCGGUUCCGAGAUCUCAUGUUAUGUGGAUGCAGUGAAUGUAACCAAAAGCACAUGUCAUACUGGUUAUAGCCCUAUCCAAUUCUUACAGUUUUUUUUUCGUCAAUGAGUCAGUGAUAUUCAUUUGCACGCAGACAACACAAAUGACGGCAAAAAAAAAAAGAAAAAAAAUAUAUAUGGAGAAAUAUAGAUAAAGUGUUUGAGUAAAAAGGGAAAAUGAGGAAAUGGGACCCCAUCUCACUAGAUGGAUCAAGAAGACACACAUAACAAGAACCCAAAAACAACUCAUGUGGCUUUCUGCUCGAAUCUACUGUUAGAUUUUUAUUCAUAACAAUGUUGGAGUAAAUUGGAUGUCAUUGUUUUGCGAGAUUCCAAGCAUAAUAAUAACACAAUUUAUUACGUUAACUCUUUUCCUCUUUGAUUUUACCAAUUAUCACAAGUCGCAACUCCUUCUGCACCUCUUGUGUCUUCUCUUGUUUUCCCCUGAAUUCUAUAUCAUUCUUUCUUAACAGUUUAAUUAUUGUUAUAGUAUUUUUAUUUAGCAGUAAUUAAAUAGGGUUACCAUGACUUCUUCGACCAGCCUCAUAUGAAACUUGCUUCUUGCUCUUUGGCUUUGUAAAAUUUCUCCAUACAACUAUCUAUUUUCACACUUUGACUCAUUAGCUAAUAUACAUGUUUAUGUUUCAUUUCAUUUUCUUACACCGGAAUAAAUAAUACUUCAUCUGUUUCAAAAUAUCGUAUAUUCUAGAAUUUUCACACUUAUUAAGAAAACACGUAAAUUUUAACAAGAAAUGUAUUGUUUUUUGUGUUUAGCUAUUUCAUAUAAUUUUUAACUAAUCAAAGUUCAGUAAAUACAAUUAGUGUCUUUGAAUUUUACAAUUUGCUAUUAUAUUAUAUAAAUUAAAAAGGUAAAAUAUUGAUCUUUUAGAAACAAUUUUUUUAAAAACAUGGAUCAUUAUGGAACGGAAGGAGUAUCAUUUGAUUGAUAAUUUCGAUGUUUUGUUGUGAUUGAUUAAUGCAUUAUGAGAAGAAAAAAAAUAUUUUUUAUAUUUUUCUGUCACUUUCUAUUUUUUCAACAAACCGUCAUUCUAUUAUUUAAGUUUGUGGUGGUUUGGGUAACUAGAUCAAAUUAAAACAAACAAAACUUGAGGUGGUCUGCCACCUUCCAUUUAACGCCAAAAAUUCCACCAUUCGUACAUUAUAUUAAUAAUAUGAAAUCUGAAGUAACAAGUUAACAUUACAUUUUAAGUUUCACAAUAUUUAAUCAACAACACUAUCAUGCUUUAUUGUUGUUAACCUAUUAACAUGACUGUAAGCUCCUACUUCAAAACUAAACUAAGAUAGGGGUAUUGAAUAUAGAAGUUGGACUGAAUUGGAAGGAAAUUGAGUUUUUUUUUUUUUUGGUAACAAUGUUAAGAUUUAUUACCCUUUUCAAAUUUGAGACAGAACUACAAAGGAAACUAGAAACAGAAGAUGCAAGAAUUGAAACUAAACACCAACUCAAUCUAAAGCUACACAAGGCCAAAACUACAAGCGCAACAACAAUACCAAAGGCUACACCAAACUCAGCACAAAACACUUGCCGCAAAAUUUAGAACCACAGUUAACCCGAGAACUGAACCCGGUAGAUUUGGCGAUACCCGGUGAUCAGUUCUUAAUGAUUGGCUCCUCAAGAACAGCUCGUGAAAGGCCUUCUUAUCGGCAGCCACCAUGGACAAAGAGCAACACUCGAGCAAAGCGCACCCGCAAAGACAGUAGAAAAGCUUUAUUUGGAGAGAAAGACCACCAGAGACGCCACGAACACCACCGAACCUGCAAUGAAGAAGACAGAACCAAGCUAGCACCGCUUUGAGUCGAAAACGGUCAGGAACAAGCCCUAGAUCCAGCCCUGAAACUAGCCGGAAACAACACGUGCUGCCACCGGGGAAGAAGAACCAUGGUUGACAAGACCGAAGAUGCUCAUCCCCACACGCGCCCGCGGCGGAGAACCCGCAACAGGUCAACCCACACAGAACCGACAGCUCUCCGAUGAGUCCUUCAGGAACCGCCUCACAGAUCUAAGCGUGUACGCCAUCGGACCCCAACAACGGCACGGACCAAGAAAGGCGGUACCCCCGAGGAGAAGGAGGAGACGAGGAGACGAGGAAGGGGGGAACCCGCUUCCGUCAAACUAGAUCUGACACCAGAUCUAAGCUUCAGCCGCCACAGAACUCAACCCAAGGAAUCGCUAACCAGAGCCCCAUCACCUAGCCUCGCUGCUACUCCAAGGCAGAGAACGCCAGAUCUACACCGCGGUGGCGAAAGCCUCAGAACAGGACAGCAAAGAAGCCAGGAAGAUGAGGGAGAUGAGCGACGAGAGAAGAAGGAAAAGAAAAAAAAAAGGGGGGGGAGGUGACCGACGGCGUCGGGAGCAAACCGCCGGCCACCAAAACUCAGUCACGAUAAGAUCUACUUUGCAGUGAGAGAAAGAGAGAGAGAGAGAGAGAGAGAGAAAAAGCCUCAAAAAUAGUUAUUUGUUAAGGAAAUUGAGUUUCCAUUAAAUUUUAGUGUUAUUUGGUUAAGUAUUUGUAAACAUUCUUACUAUUAAUUCAGUUUAAAAGUUUUCUAAUUCUAUUAAGUACAUGUAAUUCAGUUUGGUGAGUUAAGUAUGAAAUGUUUGACCAUGUUUAUCAUAAUUUUUAGUUUUUAGUUUUUCAAAAUACAAAGUAUGAAAUGUUUGACCAUGUUUAUCAUAAUUUGUUUUCUCUUAUAUGUUUAGUUUUAAUUGAUAUUUUAUUAUUAUAAAUCUUAUUAAAUUUUGUUUGUUUUUUUUUUUUUUUUUUUUUUUUUUUUUUUUUUUUUUUUUUUUUUUUUUUUUUUUUUUUUUUUUUUUUUUUUUUUUUUUUUUUUUUUUUUUUUUUUUUUUUUUUUUUUUUUUUUUUUUUUUUUUUGACAGCAAAGAAUUUACAGACUCAUGUUGACUCUGUAAACCAAAUCGGUAACUCCGCAUCCAUGUGAACGACAAAGGACGAUUGUUUCCUAGCACUGCGUGCUAGACUAUCCGCCCGAAGAUUCGCUGUCCGAGGUACAUGAACGAUAUCUGAGUUGAGGAAACUUCCUUUGAGAAACUGUAUGUCUUCCAAAUAGCUUUCGAAUGCUGGCCAUUCUUCUGGUUCCGAAACCAUCUUCACCAAUUGAGAACAAUCCGUUGCAAACGUUACCUGAAACUGUCUUAAAUUCUUCAUACAUUCCAUUGCCCAAAUCAACGCCUCUAUCUCCGAAUGAAGGGGUGAAAGACAUGCCCUUACAUUCCUUGCCCCUAGCAGCCCAUCAAACCCUGGUAAAGUACUAUACCAGCCUUGUCCUGAGAAUGUAUCCUCAUCCUUCCAUGAACCAUCUAGGAAACACCAUCGACCUUGUGUCACUAGGGGAACAUUGGUCUGUACCGAGAGCCCUCUCGUUGGGUCAUUUCCCACCUGUGCUUCUGCCCAAAGUGAUGAUUCUAUUUCAGCUAAUUGAAGAGUAUCCCUCGGAUCAAUAUCCAAAUUACUGAAAACUUUGUUAUUUCGAGCUUUCCAAAUAUACCAUAAAAUCCAUGCAAACUGAUGAUCAUCCAUCUUUGGCCGGACUCUCCAAAAUAGAUGAUCCAUAUUAGCAAACAAUGAAGAAAUAGGAAAAAAAUUCGGAGCUGACGGAAUCUUGGAUAAUGCCCACACUUGGCGUGCCGGUGGACAUUCAAAAAAUACAUGGUUAAUUGAUUCUUCAGGUUCUCCGCAUCGAGCACAAUAUGUAUCUCCAUUUAUCCCUCUUGCCUUGAGAUUUUUCAUGACCGAUAUACAUCCUGAGAGAAGUUGCCAUAAAAAAUGCCUUAUUUUUGGGGGACACCGAACUUUCCAACAGAAAGCUUUAAGUAUAUCCACUGUAGGGCCAUAAAAAACUGGCGGUUUUUCCUUAUCCGGAUAGACCCGUUCCACUUGAUAGCCUGAUUGGACUGAAUAUUUUCCAGUUUUAGUAAAAUGCCAUCCAUUCCUAUCCUCAAACUGAUUCCUACUUAAAGGAAUACUUUCAAUUAUUUUCGCAUCCGUAGGAUCCACAAGAGUCCUAAUUACCUGUAAAUUCCAUGAGCGAGAUUCCGAAUUUAUGAGGGAAUCCACUGUAAGAUCCGGAUAAAAGUUGGGAAAAUUUUUGGUUGCUGGUCUCGGGCGAGUGGCUGGGAUCCAAGGAUCAUUCCAUACAGAGAUAGACGAACCUGUUCCCACCCGUUUAAUUAGUCCUUUACAAACCAGAGAUCUAGCAGAAAUAAUACUCCUCCAGCCAUAUGACGGAGAAGAAGAACGAAUCGGUUCCAGGGGUGAAGCAUUCCUGUAAUACCGUCCUUUGAAGACUCUUGAGAAGAGAGUAUUUGGCUUUUCUAUCAGUCUCCAUAGUUGCUUUCCAAGCAUUGCCGUAUUAAAAUCCAUAAGAUCCUUGAAACCUAACCCACCAUUAUCUUUGGUUUCACAUAAUUUAUCCCAUGAUUUCCAAUGCAUACCUUUAGAACUUCCUCCUGGACUCCACCAAAACCGAGCAACUGCGCUUGUUAAUUUUUUAACGGUAGUCUUCGGUAAUCGAUAAACAGACAUAACAUGAUUGGGCAGAGCCGUCACCACCGAUUUAAUAAUUACCUCUUUUCCUCCUUUAGUAAAAAAUCGAAAUGUCCAUCCAUUAACCCUAUUAUUCAAACGUUCCUGAACAAAACCAAAUACCUGUACCUUAGACCCUCCAAGACUUUCUGGCAACCCCAAGUAGGAUCCCAUGCCUCCUAUAUUUUGGAUUCCCAGAAUAUCUCUCAACUCUUGACGAAUUUGUUCUUCAAUCUUAUGCCCAAAUUGAAUUGAGGAUUUCUGGAAAUUAAUUUGUUGCCCUGAGACAGCCUCAUAUUCCUGUAAAAUCCUAAGAAUAGUUUGACACUCCUCCUUGUUUGCCUUACAAAAGAAAAGACUAUCAUCUGCAAAUAGCAAAUGAGAGAUUGCUGGACACGCUCGCGCCACCUUUAAACCAGUAAGUUGUUUCUCUCUCUCUGCCCUCUUAAUAUUCGCUAUUAAUGCCUCAGUGCACAUAAUGAAUAAGUACGGAGACAGAGGAUCCCCCUGCCGUAAACCUCGUUGAGGAAUAAUAAGUCCCUGUGGCUGCCCAUUGAUAAGUACCCUAUAUUGAACCGAAGAGAUACAUUCCAUCAUCAAAUUGACCCAGUGGGGAUCAAAUCCCAUUCUGUGUAGAAGUGCCACAAUGAAUUUCCACUCAAUCCUAUCAUAUGCCUUACUCAUAUCCGUUUUGAUUGCCAUAAAUUUGUUCUGACAUGAUUUAUUUGUCCUCAGUCCAUGAAACAUUUCCUGCGCGAUAAGUAUAUUAUCCGAUAUUAACCUACCCGCCACAAAAGCCGAUUGUGUCUCCGAAAUUAACCUUGGUAGGCAAAUUUUCAAACGUUGACACAAAACCUUCGAGAUAAUCUUAUAACCAACAUUACAAAGACUUAUCGGCCGUAAUUCCGUCAUCCUUGUGGGUCUCUCUACUUUCGGAAUCAUACAAAUAUUAGUCAUAUUUAAACGUGGAUCCAUAUUUCCUGUAAGAAGAAAAUUAUUCACCAACUCAACCACAUCCCUCUUAAUUAUAUGCCAUGAGUGCUGGAAGAAAAGAGCUGUCAUCCCAUCCGGUCCUGGCGCUUUCUCUGGAUGCAUCAUAAAUAAAGCUUGUCGGACCUCUUCCUCCGUUGCCAUUCGCAGCAAUAUUUGAUUCAUUUGGGGAGAAAUAGAUGGUGCUAUCUCCUCCAAAAAACUAUCAAAUUCCGUUGGAUCCGUGGUCGUAAACAAACUCUCAAAAUAAUCAACCGCCACCUUCUCAACCCCUUUCUCAUCCGUUAUCCAGUUACCUGUUUCAUCAUGAAGACCCACUAUUUUGUUACGAACCCUACGCUGCUUCGUCAAAGCAUGAUAAAAUUUAGUAUUUAGAUCUCCAGAUGAGUACCACAUAUUCCUGCUUUUCUGGUGCCAAUAUUCCUCCUCAUCCUUAUAAGCCUCCUGCAAUUUCCUAGAAACCUCAAUAAUCUCUUCUUGUGAUCGAUUAUUAUCCAUUUGCACUUCCUCAAGUGCCUGUUGAAGCUCCUGAAUUUUAUCUUUUCCAUAUGGUUGAUUAUCUUUACGCCAUGUAGAUAUUUCAUGGCGACAAUUAGUAAUUUUGGUAACAAGAUCUCCUAGUUGUCCUUCCUGACUUCCCGUCCAGCCUGUUACAAUCGAUUCCAUAAGACCCUCUUGGCCAAUCCAUCUUUUGUCAAAUCUAAAUUGCCCCCUUCUUUUCCUUAUAAAUUUAUCCUCUAAGAAAGCCACCACUGGACGAUGGUCAGAUCCCACCAUCUUUAGAUACUCUGUAUAAGAACAUGGGAAAAGCGUAUGCCAUUCCUCAUUUGCCAAAGCUCGAUCCAAACGACAUCUGACCGUCACUGCUCCUUUCCCUUUGCCCCUUCUUCCUUGCCAAGACAUUGUAUUUCCUCGAGCCGGAAAUUCUAGUAAACCACUAUUCCUUAUCAUAUUAUUGAAAGGGAUGAAUGAAGUAGCACAACGAAGAGAACCCCCAUCCUUUUCAUGAUUCCCAGUAAUUUCAUUUAGAUCCCCAAUAAUAAACCAAGGUUCUGAUCUUGCCAAACCCAAUCGGGUUAGUCUCUCCCAUACUUGUUCUCUUAGCUUUGGCACCGGAUCCCCAUAAACAAAAGUAAGAAAGACUUGUUUUCCUUUAACCACCGCCUCAAUAUCUAUCAUUCUAUUGCUAAAAUAUAAAAUCUUCACCUGAUACUCAUUAUAAUAAAAAAGAGCUAAACCACCGCUCCUCCCAUUAGGGUCCACAGUAGACACACUAUCAUAUCCAAAGUGUGAUUGAAACCCUUGUACAAACUCGAAAUCCUGUUUCGUUUCAGAUAAAAAUAAAAAAUCCGGUUUGUGUUUAUGCCAUGUCUCCCGAAGAUAACUUAUGGUCCAAUGACUCCCAAGUCCUCUACAAUUCCAGCUUAAUAUUUUCAUAUAUAUAAUAACAUCUUGUAUUGCUCUCUCGAGCCCAAAAUUUUGGGUUUAAAGAUACCCAUCCAUUUUAUAAUCCCAAUAUAACAGUAACAAACUCCCAUCCCUACCGAUACCCAAACAAACCAUCUGGACCCCUUAUUCUGAUACGUGCAUUCCACGCUACAUCCGUAUAGUCGUUCACAUAAUAUACUUGACAAAUUAAUCCUCAAACUCAGAGAUAAGACAUUCAUAAUUGUUCCUGCUAAUUUAUAAAUUGAGGUGAUGCAUAUCAAAUUCAUACAUUUAAUUAUUUCCUGUAAGAGAAACAAAAAACCUCGUAUCCUCACAUUCCAAAUCGCCUUCAGACUAAUGAAAUUUGAAACCACUCCACUUCCAAAUUUCCAAUUAUUCCUCGUAGACCAAAUUACAUGUACCAAAGAAAUAAUAACUUGCAUAAUACGUGCAUAAUUAAAUGCAUUAUGGUGAUUUUCUAAAAGUACUUGGCCUUUAAUUUCAACAACCAUAUGAUCUAAUAAUCCACAGAUGACUCCGCACCACCGAGGACGUAAAGCUCUUUCUACGCUCCUGAAUACAUCUUGAACCCACAAGCUCUUUAUACUCUCUAGCUCCCACCAAAAGAAAACCAUGUUUACUAAACCCUGCCUAUGUAAACAUAUAAAUAAGCAUAACCACCGACUCAAAAUCAAACCAUUAAUCCACCAUCCUCCGUUAAUCCACCAACCUCUGUUCCCAUAAAAUAAUCUACAUACAUAUCUAUCAAAUUCCCUGUCUUCAAAAGACUUCAGUACAAUAAGAAGGCAAUUAACAAAAUAAAACCCAUGAUAUCCACAAUUCCAAAUCCUCCUCCACAAAACCGCUUUGCCACAAAUCAUCAACACGUAUUUUUGAAUAGAACACCAGGAACUUAAUAAACCACUCUUAUUCCAAUACUCAAUGAGAAACAAGAGAAACAGAGCAAUGACUACUACCCCCAAACCCAUGAAACUAAAUAAAACUUCAAAGAAAAGUAACAUUAAUGAUAUAAUGAAAGCUCCACCCCCAUAAACCCAAUCCUUUAUUCGUACUCUCAUUGUAAAUGAGGUUUGAUCCAUAAACCUUAGAACUUUAAGUUAACCGGCUUCGGGAUUGAAGGUCCCUUGCUCUCCGGUGGUUUGGUAUUGUCUCCAUGACGAGUCCCGACCUUAGCUGCAAUUUUCUUCCUUGGUGAAAGAAGCGCAGACGCCAUUCUCAUUUUAGUACUGCCCGCAGUGCUGCUGUUAGGUUUAAAUAACCUCUUACGAUGACCCUGUCUCAUCGCCAUUUCCCCUGCCCCCAACUCCUUAUUGAUGUUCGCAUCACCAGCCACCGGUUCUUCCGCAUUCUGAAGAAGAGCAUUCUCUAUCUGAGCCUCAGAAUCUUGCUCAAACUCCUCUUCUGAAAGAGUUUGAUAAAUUUUGUUUGUUUAUAAUAUAUUUUUAAGACAUACGAAAAAAUAAAUUAUUUUUGAUAAAGAAGAAAAUUUUAAAUUCACAUUAUAUAUAUUUUUUAAAUGAAACUAUUUUUGAUGAAAAUUAGCAUGUAUUAAAACUGUGGAAUUGACAAUGACAAAUUAUUUUUUGAAAAUCCCAUAAAAGCUCGAAAAGCGCUAUAGGCCUAUAAAGGCCGGACCGGACUUUAAAUUCUAGGUCCAAAGUAUUUUCAGGCCGGGCCGAGCCGAGCUCAAAUAUUUACAUGUUUAGCGGAUUUGGGCCGGGCUGGGCCUACCCGAAUUGACACUCCUAUAUGUAAUAACUGUAUUUAAAAAUAUUUUAAUGAAAAUUCCACUAUAAAAGGUAAAGAACCAAUUAUGUGUGUUUAAGCUGAUAUUUAAAGAUAUUUUUAUUUUGUUUAUUUAUAUAUAUAUAUAGUAUAUAUAUAUAUAUACACACACACACGUCAAUAUUACUGAUCAUUAUAAUAUGAUAGAUUUGAAAAUGUAAAUUUCAUUAUAAAUUUAAAAGUAUAUCAUCAUCUUGAUGAACGAAAGUAUAUUAUUUUCCUUCAUAUAGCAUGCAACGAACCUCUUAUUAGAUAUUUUUCUUCCCAAGUUUAUUCAAAAUAAGUCAUGUUAAUAAUUAUUUUCUUUUAUUUUUUUGUAUCCAAAUAUAGUGUUAUCGUUACAUAGUGAUAUAGAAAUAGUUGAAUAUGUAGUCAAGUUUUUCGUUAGAUUUUCUUUUGAAAUAAACUUUAUUUAUAUGGUAUUAAAUGGCUUGGGUUUUAUUAUGUUUAUUAGUUUAAAAAAAAUUGUUCGACUUGUUUUUUUAUGUAUAAUGAUUAAAGUUCAUGGAAUUUAAAGAAAUUAUGUCACAGAACACAACGAAGACGUUGCGCCCCAAGACUUUAUCCAUGUUAGUGUGAGCUCAUAGUCAUACUCGAAUCUACACUGGUUUAGGUUCAAUUAUAAUUCAAAAGGUUCAUAGAAUUUAGAGGAACCGGUUUCUACCAAAUAUACACUAGUAGAAAACUUUGAUAUAGACACGGUAAUUUUCGUGAUAGGGACUCUUUUUUCGUGACUAUAUGACAUCAUAGACACGAAAAGUCACGGAAAAAAAAUGUGUCUAUACGAUCGUGACCAAAAUUGACCGUGAUAAUUCGUGACUAUUUUAGUCACGUUUUGGACACAGUUUCAUUUGUGGCUGUAAUUGUCACAUUAAGUCAUAAAAGCAAUCGUAUCUACUCAGUCACGUUUUUUGUUGUGACUUAACGUGACUAUCUACGAAAAAUAUUUAAAAAAAAAUAAACACAAAAUAAAAAUAGAUUUUUAUUAAUUUAAUUCAGAAAACACAAAUUAUGUAAUAUACAUAAUUACAUAUAUUUACAGAAAAUUACAUACAUAUAUAUAUAUAUAUAUAUUAUAUGGAAUCAAUGCCUCCACCGCUCCACCAUCGGCUCCGCCACCGGCCUCUCCACCGACACCUCCAUCAGCUUUUACACCGACAUCUCCACCUGCUCUGGAUGCCAUGGGUUAAGCGAUGACUCAGUCUGCUGGUGGUAGGCCACCGGUGUUACGGCUGAACCGACGAACUGAUAUGCUCGCCACGCCUUCUCCGCCGUCAGGCUUCUUAUGCCUCCUCCGCCAUCAAGCUUCUUCUAUCUCCUCUGCUGUCAAGAUUCUUCUGCCUCCUCCUCUGCUGUCAAGAUUCUUUUUUAGAUCUGCAUCUGAAAAAAGAAAAAGAAAAAAACACUGAGAAUAUAGAAAAAUAAAUAAAAAGAGUAAUCAGGUAGAGAAGUGGUGAAUGAGGAGGUGGAGAUUGAGAUAAUGGUGUCGGAGGUGGUGGUGUUGGUUGUUAAGACUGUUUAGAUUCACGAAGACAGAGAGAUAGAGGAUACGAAGAGUUGAGAGGAGAGAAAGGAAGAAAGAGAUGGAAGAAAAAGUGUGUUUUUUACCUUAGUGCAUUUUGGUCCGUUAGAUUCACUUUUAUCAAUGGCUGUGGUUAAACAGAGCAUGAUCCGAGCCCUUGUAUCUGAUAGGCUGCUUUUAUGUUGACCAAUCAGAUCUUAUGUAUUUGAUUUCCUAUUUUUUUCCUUUGAUUUCCUAUUCUAAUUUGUUUUUAAUAAUUCGUAAGAGCAAUUGGUGCCAAAAUUCCAUCAUAAGUCCAAAAUUGAGUCUAAUUUUGAUAUAAAAUAGGGUUUAGUUUAAAUUUUGAAACUGAAGUUUGGAAAAAUAUAUUUAAAACUUAAAUAUAAGAUUUAGAGUAUAGAUAUAAGAAUUAGAGUGGGAUAUAGGGUUUAUGGUUUAUAUUUAAGAUUUUAUAUUCAGUUUUGAAUAUCAGUAUAUAUUAAUUAUUAUAUUUUAUAAUUAAAAUUAGUUAAAAGUCUAGAAGUUAGUUUUUAUCAGUGUAUAUUAAUUAUUAUAUUUUAUAAUUAAAAUUAUUUAAAAGUUUAGAAGUUAGUUUUUAUACUUUAGGGUAUGAAAGGAAAUAGGAUUUAUAUGUUAUAUGUUUAAAGUUUUGGAUUAAGAUUUGAAAAAUAGAUUUGAAAAUUUUGAUCUUCUUUAGAUAUUGAUUUUAAGAAUAUUGUAAUAACUGAAAAGUUAUUUUAAAAUUAAGGCUUAAGGUUUUUAAUCUAGGGUAUGGAGUAUAUAUAUAGUAUUUUAAGGUUUAUAGUUAGGUGUAUAUAGUGUUUGGAGUUUAGAUUUAAGAUUUGAGUUUAAGUUAUGAAAAACAACAAAUUAUGAGUUUAGUUUUGAAGAUUUGAGUUUAAAAUAUUAUGUUUUUAGGUUUGUGUGAAGAUUUUAGGGUUUAAUGCUCCAUUUAGGGUUUAGGGUAUCAUAUAGUCACUAAAAAUUUGUGGCAAAUUCGUGACUUUUUUAGUCACGUUUUUAAUUUCGUGAUUAUUUCGUGACUUUUUUAGUCACGUUUUUUACUUUGUGACAAUUUCGUGACUUUUUUAGUCACGUUUUUUAGUUCGUGACAAUUCCGUGAGUAACUAAAAAAUAGUCACGUUUUUUCGUGACCAUUUCGUGUCUAUAGACAUUUUUUCUACUAGUGAUAUUUGUAUUUCUUAAAAACUAAAACAUAAAUUAGACAAAUGAAUCAAUAGCUUCAUCAAAUCUUGUGAAAUACUUAAGAAUCUGUUACUUAUGCCUUGAAAUGAAUUCUUUCAAACUCAGUUAAUUCUACUUAAUCACUGCUAUAUACUUUUAAAACUAACUUUUAUUUUGGUACAAUGAUCUCCACAUAUAUUUUCAUCGUAAAGCACAUAUUCAGGAGUGAGAAUCGAUAAAGAAAAAAAAUGAUAUAACACAAUGUAUCAGUUACAUAACUGAUAUAUAUUGAAACAAAUAAUCUUUCGUUUUUGAUGACUGUAGAAAAAUAAGGUAUGAUCAUAUAGUUAAAGAAGAAUCAACAAAAAUUCCAUAAUCUGAUAUCUCCUUCCUCAAAGAAAUCAUCAGCAAGUGGUGUUGUCAAAUACGGCAACAUGAACUGAUCAUCACCAUCAAAGCAGUUGUACCAUGAUGAUUCAGACAAGGAGACUACUUGUUGGUCAUACUGAGACAUGGAGACGACAUCAUAGAGAUCUUCAGAUGGAGAUGAAGAAAGCAACGGAGAUGAAGUAGAGACAGAUGAGGAAGAAGGAUCUGCGUUAGCUGCAGCAGCAGCCACUCUCUGUAUGUACUUAGGAGACAUGUUAAUAUUGUUUUUGUUGUCACCAUUGUUGGUAUUGUAGAGAGAGGAUGAGAUCUCUGGGAAGUUGAGAUUACUAGCCGAAGAUCCUUUGAGACAGAGAAGCGCAGCAUCGUAGGCUCGAGCAGCGGCUUCAGCGGUUGAGUAAGAACCGAGCCAAAUCCUUGUCUUUUGAUUAGGAGCUCUGAUCUCUGAAACCCAUGAACCCCAACUUCUCAUUCUCACUCCUUUGUACUUCUUGGCCAGGUUACUCUUGCUUAUGGAUGAUGAUGUUGAUAAUGAAGAUGAAGAUGAUGAUGGAGAAGACAUUCGCUUUGUCCUAUUUUGAAGAGCUUUCACCAUUGAUAGUAAGUUACUAACUUAAAGGGUAUUGUAAAUUGAGGAGGAAGUUGGGAGAGAAGAAUAGUUCGUCUCUAUUUAUAGAUGAUAUAUAUAUGAAGAACAAAACUAGUAAUAAGAGAAUAAUAAAAUAUACUAUGAACAUAGUCAAAGAAAGUAGCAUGGGGCACACUGCACACACGUAGAAAUGAGUACUUUUUCUUUAAAUAAUAGUGAUAGACAGGUGUUUUACAAUUUAUUUAAUAGAAGGAUUUAACCUAAAUCAGAAUCCCAUAUGCAACACCCAAUCACAUAUCACUAUUAUGAGAAUCUCAUUUUUCAGUAAUGCAUAUUUAUUUAUUGAUUGACCAUUAAAAUUCUCUAGUUACGCUAUUGUUUACCACUAAUUAAGUUACUACUUCUCAGUCUGACUAUAUGUCAAAUUUGCGAACACUGUAAAACAAAAUUACACAAAAUCAACACUCAAUAUAAACAAAACUAAUUAUCUAUUUCAAGAAACGACAGAUAAUUUUGCAAAACAUAAUAGGAGCUAGAUACAUUGGAUUCUAUUUUGAGAGGCAACUUCUCGGAGCUAAGAGCAUGUGAUUUUCCAAGUACAAACAAAAUACAAAGUUAUAAACCUAAUUAUUUCGAUAAAUAAGAUGCUAGAAAAUCACAUGAUAAUAAAUUAUAAAUUUAUAAACAAAAUUAAGAAUCUUGAACGUCAAAGUAGCUGAAGUCAUGUUUAUUAUCAAGAGGAGAAAACAGCUGGUGCAUCUCUGUCUUUAAUGGGCUUUUAAAACCGCGUGAACUACUUCCUUGUGUCCCCUUCUCCCACACGUAAAUUCUCUCUGUUAAAAAUAUCUUUUACUAAAUUAAUUAAGUUGAUUUGUCAGAUUCCUUUAUCAAACUGCAGUGCUGUAAGCUAAACAAUUCAAUAAGGUACUAGAAUUUACAAUAAACUGUAUAGUAAAUCAUCAAACCUUUGAAUAAUACGCACUCUUUUUUCUACAAAACCAGUGUGCAGUUAAAAUUAAAUUAGUCGGCACUAGAAUUUAAGAGACGUAUCGAGUAAUUAAAAACAUUAAACUAAGCUAUUCGUGUUCACGUUCUGCCAGUCUCCUCUCAUUUUGUUUUUAUAAUGAAACAGGUGAGUUUUUUCCAGAUACCAAGUAACGAAUCAACUGAUUUGUUCGUUGGAAAAUGUAGAGGAAAGUGCAGGCAAAGUAAGCAUAACUCCAAUUGUUUAUUUAUGUUUGCGUUUAUACUUCCGUUUUGUAUAUACUUUAAUUAGUACUCCUCUUAAGAAAAACUUAAUGCAGUAUUUGUCAGUAGUUUAAAAAAGAAAAAUUAUAUCAUUCUUAAUAGAAGUGGAACAUGGAUUGACCGUAAUAGAACAACCAACAAAAAUUAAAUUACUAUAAAAAAUACAAAAAUUUGUUAGCUAGUAGUUAUGUAAACGUCAGUGUUUGCAUUUAUCUUAUAAAGUCUUUUUAAUUAAAAUAUUACAUUUACUGUAUUUUUCUCACUACAUGACACAGUUUUUUUUUUCAUUGUUGUUUUUAUAAUAAAUUAAAUAGUAUAUAAAAUAUUAUAAAAUUUUCUUUUAUCUAGUUUAUAUUCUGCUAGCUGUAAAAUUUACCCAACCAUAUAAAAAUCAUUUCACAAUUUUAUAUGUUCGUUUUAGAGAAACUUUUUUGUUUCAAAUUAUAUGUCAUUUUCGGUUUUCUAUGUAACAUUUAUUAAUAAUUACUAUUGUCUGACCAAUGAUAAUAUAUCUUAUAUUUUUCUAUUGGUUGAAUUGUGUUAGGUAAAUAAUUAAUGAUGUUUUUGUUUCGAAAAUAUAAGAAAUUAAUGAUUUUCUUAAUCUAUGUGCAUAGCUGUAAAACGACUUAUAUUAAAAAACGGAGGGAGUAAAAUAUUAUAAGAUGUUCUUUUAUCUAAUUUUUAUAAUGAAAAUAUUACAUUUACUGGAUCUUAGUUAUUUUUCUGCUAUUUUCCGAUAAACACUAUUAUUAAUCAAAACAUAUACCUAGUUGCUUUUGUGUGGACUACAAUGGCACCAGAUUAAAAAAAAUCAGAGUUGGUAUGACUGAUUUUUCCGCUACCACCCGCAAACGCAGCUUUUGCGGUUGGUAGCGGUUGUUGGCGUUUUGCAACAAUCACUCAAACCGCUCUAAAACGUUCCAAACCGCUCUAAACUUCAUAAAGUCAAAAGCUGGUUCAAUAUAGCGUUUGUGGUUACGGGAAGAUAAUUUUUUUUUUGAAAACAGUACAAAUACAAAAAUAAAAAUAUUCAAUAAAAAUAUUCAGUUGGAAUUAUUAAAUACUAAAAUAUAUCUAUUAUAUUUUAAUUAAUAUUAUAAAAACUAUAACUUUCUAAAUAUAAUUUUUAUAUUUCUUAUAAUAUUAUUAUUUUUGAUAUUUAUAUAAGUAUAUAAAAUAUAAAUAUUGUUGCUUUAUUAUUUAAACGCUGCUGCAUUUGAUAGUUAAUCAGUCAUAAAUAGCCCGCAAACGCACCAAUUUCCAACUGCAUAACCAAUCGUACAAAUCUUUUAAGACCACUAGAAACCACAACCACCCGCAUCCGCAAACUCCCGCAACCGCAACCGCUGCGUUUGAACCAGUCAGACCCUUAGUAGGUUGAUCUGAGUUAAAGUUAGACUUUGCUCACACACGCAAAAAAAACUAGACUUGUAUGUGAGAUGAAUGCUAGAAUAACAAAAUACUAGACUGGUUUAAUAAUAGAAUCAGAAAUUUUGCAGAAUAAUCAUAAUCAUAAAACACUAAACUGACUACACUAGAUUUGCUUUGGUUGGUUAACCAGAAGAGUCAUAGGCAAAAACCCAACACCAAACCUAAAAGCCUACGAAAAGUUGAGCUUUAUAACUUAAAGCAUCCACACUUGCCUACCGAAACUAGUAUCACAAUGAAAAUACUCAAAGCAUGGUCUUUCAACCAAGUUCCUUCGAUAACUAUACCACAAUGCCUCAUUGGUUUGAUAUAUUAUUGAUGUUUUUAAAUUAUAUUUUAAUAAGCCUAGGUAUAUAGCAUUAUUUUAUUAAAAGAAUAAAUUAUUAAAAUAACAUGAAAAUAGUAUUGUAUUCAUCACCCUGGUGUCCAUAAGCUUAAUUUUGAAAUGUGGAUUAGAUUUUGAAAGCGCGGAAUAAUUUUUUUUUUUGGAAAUUUUCUUAUAAUUGCAUUUUCCCGUUAUUUUAAGUAGGUUUGGACAUAAAUCCGUAAUCCGAAGUCCGAACUGAACCUAAAGUGUUAUUAGCCGAACCGGAACGGAUAACCAAAAAAAACAAUCCGUAUGAAGUCUGAAAUAUAAGAAGUACCGGAAUGAGUCUUGUAGGAUGCUACAAAAUAUAUCUGAAUCUAAAGUGUUAUUAGCCGAACCAGAACGGAUAACCCAAAAAAUUUAUAAUCCAAAAUAAGUAUUUUAUAUAAACCUGAAAUACAAUUCUUUAUAAAUAAGUAUUUAUUUCUUAUAUAUUUCUUUUAAAUUUUGGAUUUAAGUUCGGAUAUAUCCAAACCAAAACCAAUAUGACAUGUAUCAAACGAUGUAUAAUUACUUUAUGGGUUUUAGGUUGUGAUACAAAUUAGAACCAAAAUCAAUGUGUUAUAUCAGAACCCGAUCUGUACUUAUAAAUUUAUCAAAAUGAGAUUUAGGAUGUCAUAUAAAUUAGAGUUGUAAUUCAAAAUACCCAACCGUAUCACAAAUGGUACAUAAUAUAGUAGCUAACUAUUAAUAUUUAUUUUAUGAUAUAUAUAUAUAUAUAUAUAUAUAUCUAAUUUGAAUACUCUAUCUAUAAGAAUUAUAUUAUUAUAUAUUCAGUGAGAGUUAUGAAUAAUUUUGUUCUUGCAUUUGGAUUAAAGUAUUGAUAUUACGUGUAUACGCACACCAAUUAACCUAAUGUGUACACUAGCACAAUCGAAUGGUAUAUCGAUGUAGCACUUUAGGAUCGAAACCACAGAGACCAACGGUUACACUUUAUCUUUAUGGGAUCAAUAUUAAGCUAAAAUAAUAAGGGGUUUGAGUUUAUGGUAUCGUAACAAGAAAGUAAGAGAUUGGUGUAAGGUUUUCAGAUGACUAGAAAGACUCGACAAAGACUCAAAAACCAAUUAGAAAGCAUAUAUACAAUGAUAUCAAAAACACCAUAUAUCAAUUCCCCCGGACUUAGAUCAUUGUUUGUCCUCAAACAAUGUCAAGUAUCAAGAACAUGGAGAAAGAUUUGAAAGUAUGGAAAUUCUCAUAUUCUCAGUAACCAUACUUUAACCACAAAUCUCUGAACCAUACAAGCAGUAAAACUAGGACAACACACCCUUAGCAAAACCCCACUAACUGCUGUUCAAGAUCGGCUUCAUACUCUAUAUCUCAAACCUUCAAAAGCUACACAUUCUAGAUAGAGCUCCUUAGGUUCACUUAAGAGUAGCGUGAGCUUCUCAUUACAUGCAUUAUUCAGGGUAGACGGUCUAGGUGUGGAACAUGCUAUUUAAUGGUGGAGUUAAGAGUGUUUAGGAGUAUCCAUUUUUUUAGAGGAUGCAUGAUAUCGCGCAAAACGGCAAGAGAUGAUGGAUCCAUUGAUGUCCACAGCCUCUACUCGUUUUUGAUCUUUGUGGAACGACUGCUCUGCUCUGGACCAACCAUCAGGCUGCUCUAUUCAUCUGCCUACUCUUCAUCCCUUCAAUUUGAUACCCACUCUUCUGCUCGACCUUCCCAAUGGCUCAUUUUUCCUUGAAUUCUUCUCCUUUUCCAUCACCUUAUAGAAAAUAAUAUGAAAGAUUUUUUUGUUCUUUGUUUUUUUCAUUACAUGAAAUAGUAAAAGAUAUGGUGAUGUGACGAAGAAGGAGGUAACAUAUGAUGUGUUUGGAUGCCACUGGAGAUACAGAUUUCACAACCAUUCUCCACCCUUGCUCCAGCGUAGUGCAUCAAUUAUAGAGUGCUUGCUCCCUUAGUCUGCUUGUUCUCCUUUCUGACUGAAUUUCAGCAGCUACUACACGUAAGAGGCUGUGUUGAUCAUUUCUUCUCCGGGUAAGAGGCUGUGUUGAUCAUUUCUUCUCCGGCCUUUUUGCACAUAUCUGCACAUAUAACACUGAAAAACAAAUGCGUGAAGGUGGAAUAAAGGCUAAGGUGCAGGGUGAGAACUAGCUAAAUAUGAGCUAGCCACUCAGGAUCAGCAAGAUGGAUAGAAAGAAUAAGAAGUCCUGUGUGUAUUCUCGUUUCCCUGAUCUAAUGCCCAUAACAAGAAGAAUUACAGUCAAGAUUAGGUUCAAGUUAAAUGGAGCUAAGUAUUUCCAGUGUAACCUCGACAAGCCGAAAGCUUUUGGAGAACCAAAUGAGAUAAUGUCAAGGUGUUACAUGUCCACAUGUGUGUCUUUCGCCACUUCUAAGGUCCCUGAAUAAGAUAACUUAAGCACAAGGUGGUUAGUGAUCAACAGGGAAUAAGUUCCUAAUUCCCACAAAGUUUUUGACUGAUUCGAUCCUAAAAACUGACUCAAAAGGAAAAGAAAAGAAAGAAACGAGUUAGUAAGCGAUGCAUACCUUCCGCCUAGACUUACUUCACACCGUCCCUGGUAUGUAAUAAAUCAGAGAGAAGGUAAAAACAAGAAUAGAAAGGAUAUAUAUUUUUUUGUCGAGAUACUUACUGAGUGGAGCGGUUUCUCCGAAAAAUCAUGGGUGCUCUAUCGCCAGGAGCAGCCGGUCUUUUCAGAGGGUAGGGUGCUCCGUUUCUGCAACCCAGAAUUCUUGAAGUAUCUUGGAUUUUUUCUGCUUUUUGACUUGAGACUCAAUAACUAAAACAUAAAAUAAGCAAAAUAAAAAUAAAACCAAGUUAUAUUAACUUACCAGUGGGUUGCCUCCCACCAAGCGCUUGGUUUAAGUCACUAGCUUGACUUGGUGACAUGGAUCAGUCGGGUUGAGCAUGAGGGCUUUUUUCCAAAUAAGCUCCACAAUCAGACAUGAUCAGCUUCAAAACUCUGCUCAACAACCCUUUCACAACAGCUUAUCCUUUCUCUUUCAGCUCACGUAUGAGAAUAACCCUGACUUUAGAGAAAGGUUUAGAGGUACCCUUACACUUUACUUCAUAUUCAAUGGAUUUCUCAUCACACUUCCGCGGUAUCAAAGUUAUUGUAGGGUCGCCCUUGACCCUUUUCUUCUGGACUUUUUUCUUUCACCUUUGCAUUUCCACUGAGUUUUUCAGUAUCAGUGUGAGGAUCUCCAUCCAAAACUUCUUUUAUCUCACUCUUAUCACCAAGCUCCUUCUUAAGAACAAUUUUCAGUUGUUCUCCACUAACCACUGAGAUGCAAGAGGCGUAUCGGAUUUGUUAUAUGGUUGGGACAUGCUUGUAGAAAACCUUCUUGUUGAUGUUGGAGAAGGAGACUCUCUUAUUAGGCAGGUCGAUGAUUGCUCCCACUGUAGCCAUAAAUGACCUUCCGAAGAUCAAAGGCAUCUCAUGAUCCUUGCUCAUCUCAACAACCUGAAAUUCAGUAUGGAGAAUAUAGUCCCCUACUUGGAUAUGAAGAUUGCGAAUGGUGCCAUAUGGGACUGCCGUGCAAGAGUUUCCAAAAGCCAAAGUCACCAGAGAGGGCUCAACAUCAACAAUGCACAGCUCGUUCACAAUUGCCUUUGAGACAAGAUUCACACUAGACCCGGAGUCAUAAAGAGCUUCCUUGAAUUCCACUCUAGCAAUGGAACAUGGAAAAGAAAACUUUCCAGAGUCAUCAACCUUAGGCAAUACUUUCAGUGUUGGUGUCAACGCUUCAGUAAAGUGAGCCUUAAUUUUCUCUCGAGUCUCUCUGCAAUUUUUGAAGAACAUAUGCAAUGGCCGAAUCUCCCAAGCAUGUACAAAUGAGAUAUUUUUAAGAAGCAUUCUCAACAUCUGCACUAAUGGGAUCCAUCAAAUGUCUAGGUGGAAUUGUAUAUGGAACCUUAGGAACAUAGACUCGCACUGGUGGAAUGUUAGUAGGUUUGUCAGGAGCAGUCCCUUCAGAGCUAGCAGGGUACUAUGUUCUCUCUUCUGCGCCUGAAGCAGUCUCGGCAGAUAUUUGCUUUGGUUCUUUUCCCUCAGCUUUCUCACAUAACAGCUCUGUUGUGUUACAAUGCUCAACCUUAGGGUUCAUCACACUCUUUCCAGGAAAGGUAUCUUGCUGCCACUUGACAUUACAAUGCUUUUUGAGAAAUCUGAGCAUCCAUCUUCUUUAUGUGGCUAGCAACAGUGUCGUACUUUGUACUCAGCUCGGUGAACAUGUUGUCCAUCCUCUUGUAACGCCCGAAUCCGGCCUCUCGACGAAACUGGACCCGUUUGCUACUUAAUCAAUUUUUUUGCUUGUUUGAUUCAUUUUAAGUCUUUCAUUUACUAAGUCAUGUUCGAAUCUGAGGUUCUACAACAAUUGAACAGAUAGCACAGCGGAAUAUAAAUGUGUAUAAAAUGUAUUACUUAGAAACAUGAGAUCCGACACACAACUUCUUAAUUGUUUCAUAGACAAUCACUAGCUUAUCCCUAGCAUCAUCUAACCACACAUUACACAGCCUCUCACUGACUGAGCCUUCACGGCUCCUUGGCUUGACCAGAACCAUCCUUAGUUCCUGAAACCACAACCAGGUAAGCAUCAAUCAUAACUGAGAAUAAGACGGGUCGAUUCUACAAUGCUUGGCUUGGUUCCUAGAACAUAGAUAAACCUCAAUCAACAUAAUCAUAUAAAGAUAUGAACCUGCCUACCGUAUCCUAAGGCAUUCAACCAACCACCAUUUGACUUAGAAUCAGAUAGACAGUCAAGAAUAGAUAAACAGAACACACGAACAGUCCGGAUCGUCCCAAAGACCAAUCCGUCUAACCGGAUAAAAUCUAGGUGCGACCGGCCUAGUUGAAGUCCGUCUCAAUGGCCCAACGGACUUCCUUACCUGAUCCGGCCUUGGGCUUGGAUCCAACGGCCGAGUAAGCCUCAAGCCCAAUCCGGUAGGCUAAGCGACCGACCAGACCUUGCGACUCUUACCCUAGCUUAGACGAACCGUGUACUUGUCUUAAACGGACAAGACAUGGACUGAUCCCUAAGGAACUAAGUCAUGUUCGAAUCUGAGGUUCUACAACAAUUGAACAGAUAGCACAGCGGAAUAUAAAUGUGUAUAAAAUGUAUUACUUAGAAACAUGAGAUCCGACACACAACUUCUUAAUUGUUUCAUAGACAAUCACUAGCUUAUCCCUAGCAUCAUCUAACCACACAUUACACAGCAUCUCACUGACCGAGCCUUCACGGCUCCUUGGCUUGACCAGAACCAUCCUUAGUUCCUGAAACCACAACCAGAUAAGCAUUAAUCAUAAUCGAGAAUAGAACGNNNNNNNNNNNNNNNNNNNNNNNNNNNNNNNNNNNNNNNNNNNNNNNNNNNNNNNNNNNNNNNNNNNNNNNNNNNNNNNNNNNNNNNNNNNNNNNNNNNNNNNNNNNNNNNNNNNNNNNNNNNNNNNNNNNNNNNNNNNNNNNNNNNNNNNNNNNNNNNNNNNNNNNNNNNNNNNNNNNNNNNNNNNNNNNNNNNNNNNNNNNNNNNNNNNNNNNNNNNNNNNNNNNNNNNNNNNNNNNNNNNNNNNNNNNNNNNNNNNNNNNNNNNNNNNNNNNNNNNNNNNNNNNAACCCUUCGUGUAUAAUCAAAAAGAAGAGAAAGGACCGGAGAGAAACAAAAAAAGGAGAAGCGGUUAGGUCUGAACCGACCAGAGACGCGGUGCGAUCACAAGGACCGCCCGUUCGGUCUGAUGGAGCCAUAGCCCACCACGUACCUUAUGAACCGUGUCAGGGUUCUCCAUGUUCUUCUCCUGCUCUCGGUCUCCCAUACUUAAUCGGAGGUUGCUUCACAAACGAUCAGAUCGCCGGAAACCUAACCACCACACAAUCGGCCUUCCUUUGGCCGAAACUCUCUCUCUGUCUUUCUUUCUCUCUCUCUACGAUUUCUCUGAGUAUUUUACUCUGGAUUGGAUGAAUGAAAUCGACAAAGAGGACCCCAUAUUUAUAGAAAACGAGGGGGUAAGUCUUGCCCCACGAACAGGCAUGACUGGCCAGCGGAUGGGCACAAUAGAGCUGCACUACACUUCACCUAGCUGGUCGAGCUUGCUUACUGCAUCGCCCAGCUGUUAUACACUGUGUCCAGCUUGCUUCCUUUAUCUUCUUCAAUCCUUCUAAGUCCCUUGGUCAAUUUCCAGACCUAGACUUAGUUUUCCCAUGAUCCAUUCUGAUCACUCACUUCAUCGAGCUUCACCUGGAUAUUGUCCAGCUACCAGCUCGCUUGUCCAGCUCCUUUGAGCUUGUCUCCUUCUUGGAUUAGCUAUGCCUUAGCUUCCUGAUGCCCUUAACCUUACCUUCAGGCCAUGAUAUACUUGUCUUUAGGUCAUAUGACCUGACUGGUGCGUUUCCUCGCACCGCAGUCCGUCCGGACGAUCCUAUCCAGGAUCGGGGACAUGACAUCACUGGUGUUAGUCACAGCCGGCUCGGUUGGUAACCCGGACAGAUUAAGUCCGUCCGCAGCCGCUUGACUUGACGGACCAGCCGUUUUCUUAUUCCUUCGGGUCUUUCCCGAUUUGCUUUUCCCAGCCUAAGGAUUCAGACAUUGUUAGUACAACAUAUACAUAACUUAACCGAGACAAUUAAUCCCUAGACCUAACUAUCAAACCUCACCGUGAGACUGAAUCAGCUGGCUGCGUGUGUGUGGACUACAUAACCCAACUAUCCUAGAAUCAAGCAUGCUCUGAUACCAACUUGUAACUCCCGAAUCCGGCCUCUCGACAAGACUGAACCCGUUUGCUACUUAAUCAAUUUCUUUGCUUGUUUGAUUCAUUUUAAGUCUUUCAUUUACUAAGUCAUGUUCGAAUCUGAGGUUCUAAAACAAUGUAACAGAUAGCACAGCGGAAUAACAAUGUGUAAACUUUGUAGUACUUAGAAACAUGAGAUCCAAUACACAACUUCUUAACAGUUUCAUAGACAAUCACUAGUUCGUCCCUAGCAUCAUCUAACCCCCCGUUACACAGCCUCUCACUGACCGAGCCUUCACGGCUCCUUGGCUUGACCAGAACCAUCCUUAGUUCCUGAAACCACAACCAGGUAAGCAUCAAUCAUAACUGAGAAUAAGACGGGUCGAUUCUACAAUGCUUGGCUUGGUUCCUAGAACAUAGAUAAACCUCAAUCAACAUAAUCAUAUAAAGAUAUGAACCUGCCUACCGUAUCCUAAGGCAUUCAACCAACCACCAUUUGACUUAGAAUCAGAUAGACAGUCAAGAAUAGAUAAACAGAACACACGAACAGUCCGGAUCGUCCCAAAGACCAAUCCGUCUAACCGGAUAAAAUCUAGGUGCGACCGGCCUAGUUGAAGUCCGUCUCAAUGGCCCAACGGACUUCCUUACCUGAUCCGGCCUUGGGCUUGGAUCCAACGGCCGAGUAAGCCUCAAGCCCAAUCCGGUAGGCUAAGCGACCGACCAGACCUUGCGACUCUUACCCUAGCUUAGACGAACCGUGUACUUGUCUUAAACGGACAAGACAUGGACUGAUCCCUAAGGAACUGACACGACCUGUCUCAACAGGCACCGUUUGGAACAUGCACCCCUUCGGUCCUUGGUACCUCUUGGUCCUCGUACCUCUUGGUCCUCGUAACCCUUGGUUACUUACACCCUUUGGCAACUCACAACCUUUGGUAACUCGUGACCCUUGGUAACUCACAACCCUUGGUAACUCGUGACCUUUGGCAACUCGUGCCUUUUGGGACAUGGCCAACCGUUUAGCCCAACCGCCCAGUACAUGGUGCGAUUCGAACCGACCGUCUAACCGACCAGUGCCUAGGUUAGCGGUUUGGUUAUGACCGGCCAAGUCUAGGGACAUGUCCCUUGGACUGAACCAACACAACCCUUCGUGUAUAAUCAAAAAGAAGAGAAAGGACCGGAUAGAAACAAGAAAAGGAGAAGCGGUUAGGUCUGAACCGACCAGAGACGCGGUGCGAUCACAAGGACCGCCCGUUCGGUCUGAUGGAGCCAUAGCCCACCACGUACCUUAUGAACCGUGUCAGGGUUCUCCAUGUUCUUCUCCUGCUCUCGGUCUCCCAUACUUAAUCGGAGGUUGCUUCACAAACGAUCAGAUCGCCGGAAACCUAACCACCACACAAUCGGCCUUCCUUUGGCCGAAACUCUCUCUCUGUCUUUCUUUCUCUCUCUCUACGAUUUCUCUGAGUAUUUUACUCUGGAUUGGAUGAAUGAAAUCGACAAAGAGGGCCCCAUAUUUAUAGAAAACGAGGGGGUAAGUCUUUCCCCACGAACAGGCAUGACUGGCCAGCGGAUGGGCACAAUCGGCCAAGGGUUGCACCCUCUCGGCCGCAUGCAUCCCAUCGGCAAUACCGCAUGGGUUUGGGCCGGACAGAGGCCCAAGGCCUUACCCAAGCCUUCUGGACUUAGCCCACGGCCUUGUCCCAAGCCCCAACGGUCCAUGGCUCCAUGGCCGGACCCCCAUGGCCCGCCACUGGCCCGAACCCGGACCAUCGGCCUGAAACCCGAACAGUCCGUCAAGCUGAGAUGAGCUGACUCCCAGCUGUCUCAGCUGAGUGAGCUAGUAGUCCAGCUAGUGGAGCUGAAUUAGUAGUGGCCGAGCUGGAAUGAGCUUAACCUUAACUCCGUUGAGCUGGUCGAGCUACCCGUUCCAUCGGUCCAGCUAUCGUCCUACUCGUCCUAGCUGACUCUCGACUUGUAUAAGGUUAAGUCUAAGUUUCUUAUGUCCUUAACCUUCUAUUCUGGCCACGGAACGCUUGCCUUGAUGUCCUAAGACUGGCUAGUACGUUUCCUCGAACCAUGGCCGUCCCAACGAUCCUAUUCAGGAUCCGGGAUGUUACAAUCCUGGUGUUGAUGUCUGUGGUAACCUGAUUCAAUGCCUUAGCAUGAACCUGUUGACCCUGCAAUAACUGUUGCAUCAUCAUACCCAGACCCUAAAGGUCAUAUGUUGCAUUGUGGCAGCGAGAUCAUCCUGGUUGCCGUAGUCACCCAUAGUUGUGUUGGUCGGACUUGGCUGUUGACGGUUGUUUUUCGUACCUUGCUAGCUCAUGGUUGGUAAGCAUAACUAAUUCUCCAUGUGCGUUUCUCCGAGUAUGUCUACUGGUCAUGCACCUGGAAUAUUAACUGCAACAAAAAAAAUAGAGCAAGUUAGAGGUCUUAGACCAAAUAUAUAACCGAAAAAUAAAGGUAAGAAGUUGGUCCCCGCAAACGGUGCCAAAUUGAUAUUACGUGUAUACGCACACCAAUUAACCCAAUGUGCACACUAUCACAAUCGAAUGGUAUUUCAAUAUAACACUUUAGGAUCAAAUCCAUAUCAUGAAAUAGUAAAAGAUAUGGUCAUGUGACGAAGAAGGAGGUAACAGAUGAUGUCUAUGGAUGCCACUGGAGGUUCUGAUUUUGCAACCAUUCUGGUUCUCCACCCUUGCUCAUGUGCAGUUCAUUAAUUAUGGAGCGCUUGCUCCCCUAGUCUGCUUGUUUUCCUUUAUGACUGAAUUUCUGCAGCAAUAACAAGAGGCUGCAUUGUUCCUUUCCUCUCUGGCUUUUUUGCACAUAUCUGCACAUAUGACAAUGAAAAACAAAUGCAUGAAGGUAGAAUAAAAGCUAAGGUGAAGGGUGAGAACUAGCUAAAUAUGAGCUAGUCACUCAGGAUCAUCAAGAUGUAUAGAAAGAAUAAGAAGUCUUAAGUGUAUUCUCGUUUCCCUGAUCUAAUGCCCAUAACAAGAAGAAUUGCAGUCAAGAUUAUGUUCAAGUUAAAUGGAGCUAAGUCUUUCCAGUGUAACCUCGACAAGCGGAAAGCUUUUGGAGAACCAAAUGAGAUGAUGUCAAGGUGUUCUAGGUCCACAUGUGUGUCUUUCGCCACUACUAAGGUCACCUAAUAACAUAACUAAAGCACAAGGUGGUUAGUGAUCGACACGAAAUAAUGUCCUAAUUCCCAUAAAGUUUUGACUGACUCGAUCCUAAAAACUGACUCAAAAGGAAAACAAAAGAAAGAAACGAGUCGAUGAAAACCCUUCCCAGACUUCACACCGUCCCUGGUUUGUAAUAAAUAAGAAAGAAGAUAAAAACAAGAAUAUAAAGGAUAUAUUUUGUAAAAUAUCGAUCAAACAAGAAUAGAAAGGAUAUAUUUUGUAAAAAAAAGAUAUUUUUUUUAGUAGCUGAUCAACCUUGGUUGUCAGCUCAUCUAUUUAAUUUCUGGGUGUCGACACUGUUGACUUUGUUGGAGCGAUUGUUCUCAUGAUUCUCAUUCGCUGAGCUAGCUGCCAUGUUCUCAAUCAGCGUAAACGCUCCAUCAGUGGUCUGAGUCAUGAAGUCCCCAUUGCUCGAAGAGUUUAUAGCACUUUUGUAUUUCCAGUCUACUCCAUCAUAGAAAAUGCCCAGGAGAUAAUCAUCAUCAAAUCCAUGGUCAGGGCGUUCUCUGCAGUAGUCAUUAUAACGCUCCCAUGCGUCACAAAAAAACUCAUAAGUGAGCUGUCUGAAAGAGGUGAUCUUGUUCCUCAAUGCAGCUGUUCUCGCCUUCGUGUAGAAACUGCUUAGGAACAAUGAUCAGAACUUUUCCCACGAAUUAGAAGAUCCGGUAGGGAGAGUUCAACCAUCGUGCAGCCUUUCCAUCAAGAGAGAAUGGAAAUAGCAUGCACUUGAUGUAGUCUGGUGGUAUGCCAUUUUCACUAGUAAAGCUGCAGACUCUUUUGAAGCUCUCAAUGUGUUUCAUUGGAAUCUCUGUCAGGAGACCAAUGUACACUUUUCUCUGCACCAGAUCGAUCAAAGCAGGCUUGAUGUCAAAGUCUUGUCUGAGACAGCAUGGAGAAGUAAUGGCAGAGCAGGUAGUAGGAAAGUUACGCGGAAGGUUUCUCUGUCCGAUUGGAGCAGCUUGCUCCAGCUCUAGCGCAGUCUGUUCAGCAGCUUGUUGAGCAGUUUGUUCCUGCGCUUGAAUGGUCUACUGCAUCUGAAGCAUAUGUUAUUGCAUCUGUUGCAUUGUGGCAGCGAGUUCAUCCUGGUUGCCGUAGUCACCCAUAGUGGUGUUGGUCGGCCAUGGAUGUUGACGGUUGUUCUUUCUAACCUUGCUAGUUCCUGGUUGGUAAGUGUAACUAAUUCUUCUUGUGCCUUUCUCCGAGUAUGUCUACUGGUCAUCCACCUGGAAUAUUAACUGCAACAAAAAAGAUAGAGAACGUUAGAGAUCUGAGACUAAAUAUAUAACCGAAAAAAUGAAGGUAAAACGCUGGUCUCCGACAAUAGCGCCAAAUUGAUAUUACGUGUAUACACACACACCAAUUAACCUUAUGUGCGCACUACCACAAUCGAAUGGUAUGUCGAUGUAGCACUUUAGGAUCGAAUCCACAGAGACCAACUGUUACACUUUAUCUUUAUGGGAUCAAUAUUAAGCUAAAAUAAUAAAGGGGGGGGGGUUGAGUUUAUGGUAUCGUAACAUGUAAGUAAGAGAUGUUGUAAGGUUUUCAGAUGAUUAAGAAUGCUAGCCUAGGAUGGUUUCAUCGGGUGUCAAACACUUGUAAGCCAAAUAAUUAUUCAAGUUCAAUUAAGAGCAAGUCUAGAAUUUAGAACACACUAAUAGAUCAGCCCACUGUCGUGGAGCUUCACAUUUUGGCAAUCGAUCUCAGUACCUAAACUAUUGUUUGGAUUGAGACGCGAUGACAAACAUUAAGAUCAAGUCCGAUAUGUUCACAAAACACCCUAACAUCUACUUUUGCUGGUUAGGGAUGCAAUGCUCAUUCAUUCAAUGUUUAACAACCUAUAACACUUAUGAUGAAUAGAUUAAACAUGUGAUCAGAUGCUAAAUGUCCAGUUUAACACAAGCAGUAAGUUUGCAAUGAAUGAAGACAAUCGAUUUAUAACACAUUCAUGUUUAGCCCACAGAUCUAACACCCUAACACUCUAGACUAAGCAAGUUGACUACUCAGCCAUGAAGCAAAAAAACAGAGAGAUUGAUUUUGAAUAAUAUUGCAUAUAAAUAAAAGAGAUAAAAAGAAGGUUCAGGAUAAUCUUCUCUAGACAAGAGAGAUGGAGCCUUCUCCAUAACAAGUAGCAAAUCGCCAAGUAUAAAACUCUAGGGUCUUGUUCUUCUAAAAAAACAACGUAGAAAAAUAAAGAGAAAAAGAAGAUAUAUAGAAGCCACAGGCGGCUGGGAGAGAAAAUAGGGAGAUUAGGACAAAUUCUAAAAUAGCUUGUAGUUUCCUUAAAAUAUCUGCUGCUGGAACAGGCACUCGGGUUGCUCUGCUCAAUCGGGAACAGUCACUUCAGAUUGUUCUGCGUGAAAAUCACCAAAUUGCACUGUUUUCUGCAUCUUUUUCUCCAACAGGUCCAUCUCCUAUCCAGUGCAACUCCAGACCUGUAAUGACUCGAAAAGGACUAGAAAGACUUGAUAAAGACUCAAAAACCAAUUAGAAAAAAUAUAUACAAUGAUAUCAAAACACCAUAUAUCAAGUAUAUUUGUAUAUAUACAAAUUAGUUGCAUAAUAGAAUUAUUUUUAUAUUAAUAAAUAAAAUAUAAUUGAUUAGUCACUUAAAUUUAGUGUUAAUAUAAAUUGAAUUCAUUAUUUUUUUAAACAAUAGAUUAGUUGAUGUCAAAAAUAAAUAAAUUAGUUAUUUAGUUCCUUAAUUUUAGGUUAGAGUAUGUAUUUAAUAAUAAUUAAGUUAGGUAUAUGUAGAAAUAAAAAGAAAGUUAGUUAAAUGUACCGGUCCAACCUAGACUAUUUAUAAGUAGAUAAAAACUGCUUAUGUUUUAAUAGUACGAGAUUCUAGAUAUAAAUAUAUAAAGUAAAUGUAUCGGUCCCAAAAUUGAAGUAGUUAUAUGUCUAAAUCAUUUAGUCUCUAAAUUUAUUAAAAACUAGAUUUUAACCUGCACAUUCGUGCAAAUAUUUUUUUUAAAUGUAUUAUUAUUAUAAAUGUUUUCAAUAUAUAUUUUUUAUUUUAGUAUUAUAUAUUGUGUAACUCUGUAAUAUUAUUGUUUAUAUUUCUUAUUUGGCAUUAUUAGUAUAUAGUGAUUUGUGUAAUAAUCCUUUUGUUUUAAAAUAUUAGUUUUACUUAAAAACACUAAUAAUAAGAAAAUUGUUAUUUAAAAAAAUACAUCAUUUAAUCAAUAAAUUCAACCAAUUAUAAAAAAUAUAACAUUAUUUCAAUGGUCACACAAUAUGCCAAUAUCUAAUAAAUAAAUGAAAAGGUGCAUUCAAAUGUGUGAACUACUUAUAUUGUGAAAUAAAAAAAAAUUCGCUAAAACUAACUACAAUUAAAAACAGAGGGAGUAUAUUUUACUUUGUUAUUAAUUUUUUAUUACUUACGAAUAUAUUUUUGAGUUAGAUACAAUAAAAUAACAAUAUGAAAUAAUCAAAUAGAUAACUUCUUUUGAAAUAUGUUUUUCUUUAAUUUGUACAUUUUCCUUUAAUACAUUUUUAAAAUAUAUUUAUUAUUUAUAAAAAAUAAAUAUGUUUACGAUAAUUUAUAUUUACAUGUUUUGUUUUAUAAAAUCUACUUUAACAUGCAUCUUUUAGUAUUUUACGGAAUUUAUAAGUAAAACAAUUGUUUUGUUUAUAUAAUAUAACAAUACUAUUUUAGUAAAUUUUAUACAUAGUAGCAUCUCUCAUAUUAUUUUUGUAAAAUUUAUUGAUAUAUGAUAUUUUUAGAUGUUAUGAUAUUAAUUUUUCAUUUUUAUUUUUAAUUAAAAUUUCAAAACAUUAGGUUGCUUUAAUUCUUACAACAUAUAUAAUUUCUUUUUUCGUGGUGCAUUUCUAAAAGUUAUUUUAUUAUCUAUGAUUUUAUCUUUUGUAAGAUUUGAAAUAUUAUUAUUUUGAGUUUUAAUAUUUAUUUUCAAAAUUUUAUGUUUUGUCAAGAAAAUUUGAAAACUUAUACUACUAUUUUUGAGUUUGGAAGAUUACAUGAAUUUUGAAUUUGGUUUUGUUACUACAUUAAUACAUUGUUUUAAAAAAAUAUUUGAAUUUUUGGUAAUAAAUUCUAAAUUUUUCUCAACAGACUUUGUUAUAAUUUAAAAAUUAUAUAAUUAAAAUUUGAUUUGAAAUUAAUAUUUUAAAUGAAUUACUAAAAUUUCAUAGUUUUUAAUUACAUAUUUUAAAAUAGUAUAUGAACUAAAGGCUUUGAUAUACUAUUAUAUUUUUGUAUAUAAACAUUAUAAACAAUAUAUUGUUGAGAGUUUUUGUUUUUGAUGAAAUUUCAAAUUUCAAAUAUAUUGUUGAGAGUUUCAAAAUAAAUAGAAGAUAGUAUAUAGUUGUAGAUAUAAAAGUUUAACCUAUGUUAAUAAAUUUAUUUUUAUAUAAAACUAUUACAUAUUUUACAAAUUUUAACCAUUUUAAGGAUGAGUGAUAAUUUAUAUAAUUAAACAAUUUAAGUAAUUUAAAUUUGUUAAUUUACCUAUUUAAUAUAAUUGUAUCAUAUUUAAUUCAUAUAGAACUUGUAUUUUUUUAUAAUACAGAAUAUAAUUAUAGUAUAUAAUUUUUCUUUUCUUCUUUUAUAAUAAAAUAUUAAUUAACUUUGAUUUAUAAAAAAAUUUAUAUUACUAAUAAAAAAUUUAAUUAAUAUGUUAUUUUAUAAAACAUAGUUAGAAUUUCAAGUAAGAUUUUGUUAGAUUUUGUCUCAACAGAUUUUGUUAUAAUUAAAAUAAUAAAUUCAAAUUUUUAUUUGGUUUAUUAUUAAAAUAAAUAAUCGAUAUAUUAUAUUUAUUAAUUUUUUAAUUGGUCCUACUAUGACUUGUUACUUAUAGAUACAAAUAUGUCCCUAAAUUAAUAGAUUAGAUACUCAUGGAUCAUUUUUUUUUCUUCCUCAUGGAUCAUUUAGUUUAUAAUCUUUAAAUGUUUAAAUCUCAUAAAUUUCAAUAUUGGUCCAAAUAUGGACGACCUUAUAUUUCUCUUUGGGUAAAACCUUUAGAUUAAAACUAGAUUUUAUCCGCUUUUGAAAAUGUGGAAUUAUAUUUACAGUUUUCAAAAUGUUUUGAUAAAAAUUUAAAAUUUUUUAUAUAAUUUAUAAAAUUUAAAAAUUUUUUAUAUAAGUUAUGUUAAAUUUAUGUAAAUGAGUUUUAAUACAAAAUUCAUAUUUGUUUGAAUAAAUAGUAAAACUGCAACGGUACCUUCAUAGCAAGCCAAGUGAUGAAGGCAUACCUUGGAACUCCUUGAACAAACCAAACUACUCUACUCCAUUGUUCUAUAUCCUUCUUCGCCCUAAUCAGGUUCCAAGUUGUAUUGGAUGUAAAUUUUUCCCGGUAGUCAUCCUCAUCAUGCUUCCACUUCACUAAGUCCUUCCCCAAACUAGGCUGAGGAGGAUUCGCUGAGACAAUGUCUGCAUAUAACGCAUGAUAUCGUCGACAACGAGACCCCCUAAUUCUCCAGCCGUUAUGAUUCUCUGCUUCGCUCACCGUGGCAUGUCGAAGUACUCCGAGAUAAGUGGUUCCUGUUGCUCCCGUGAUAUCAAUAGGAUGUGAGCUAUGUGGAGAAAGAGACGAAACCAGAUAUCACUUAUUUUUUGCUUGCCCUUAUUCUUAUACGAUCUGGGAAUCAUUGGCCAAAGGUCUCAUGGGUCGGGGGAUUAAUCCAGAUUGGCACUGGACAGUUCAGCAUUUGAUUGGUAUGCCCCAAAGCAUGAAUUCAGUGUUGGCAAAAAUGUUGUUCCAGACUACCAUAUAUCACAUUUGGAGAGAGAGAAAUGGAAGGAGGCAUCAGCAACCUCGGACGCCAGUAGAGCAAAUGAAGAGAAGGGUUGAAAAAGCAGUGAGGACCAAGAUGUUUUCACUUAAGUAUACACAUAAUCACAAGUUUGCACGAAUGCUUCAACGGUAGUUUCUUCAUACGUUAUAGUGCUUAGGAACUUAAUAAGUGUCCUUAGGUUGGAGAUAGAUUGUAAAUAACUUUCAUUCUUUUGAUAGUCCAAUAAAUUUGAAAUUUCAUCAAAAAAAAAACUGCAACGGUAAAAAUAUUAAAAGUUAAUAUUAUCCGCUAUAUAAUUACAUAAUAUAAAUAUUUGAUAUUUUAAUAUCUUAUUUUAAAUUUCAUAAAAUAGUUGGUUUAUUAAAUUCUUAAAUAUUUUAUUUACUGUACUAAUGUAAUUAUGCAUUUGAAAUAUAUAUGUUUAUAUUAUAGAAUAUUUUCUUGUUUCAUCAUAUAAAUUAAAUAUAAUUUAUGAUGAUAUUAAUAAUAAUAAUGUAAUUUAUAACUGUAUAAAAUAAACAUUAAAAAUUAAAAAAUAUGAUAAAAACAAUUAUUCAUUUAAUUUAAAAUAAAAUUAACUGAAAGAUUCUGCUGAUAUGGACUUCUAAAUAUAUUAAAGUAUAUUUACAUAUUUGUGACCAACAAACAAUGACAAAAUACCCUUAAUAAAAAUCCAGUAAGGCUUUACAAUAAAAAUCUAUAGACCUCCAUGGUUGGCAGUAACCCAAACUUUAAUUUCAGCUCCUACCACGGUACCACUUGGGAGAAAUGAACUAGUGUUAUUUGAUUAUCGACAUUACGUUGUACAGUUCCACUAGCUUUUAUACCACAACUUACCACUCGGAAAUUUACAGAGCAUGUUAAGAGCAUCUCCAAAAAAGAACUCUAUUUUGAAGUUUCCAAAAUUCUAUAUUUGAAGUUUAAAGGUAUUUUUCUCCAAAAGCAAAACUUCAAACUCAAUUUCAAAAUUAUUUAUAUUUUAUAAUAUGAUCCUUAUAUUUGUCAUAACUAAUUUAAAUUCAUAAAACUUUUGUAAAUAACUAGGACAUAUAUAAACAUAUUACAAAAAUAUUAAUUAAUAUUUUUUUUAUUAAAUAUAAAAUUUAAAUAAAAAUAACUUAAUUAAUACUAAACUUCAAAAAAAAUAAAAUAAUUUUCGUAAUGCAUAUAUGAUCUAUUAGUGCAUUUCGAAGUAAAAAUGUCUCUCCUCAUUUUUACUUUGUAGAUUACGAGCUAAAAGUUGUUGAAAUCGGGUAAUAUUGAUACUUGUAAAUACAUUAGUUUGGAACAAGAAAGUAAAAGAGAAACAUAUAAUAUUGCUAAAAGACUAAUUUUAUUCGAUGAUAUUAAUACUCGUGAAUAUAUUCGAUAUGAACAAGAAAGAAUUAUACGAAAAAGACAUCAAAAACAACAACAACAACCAUCUUCAAUUACACAAAGAAAAUUGGAUAAUAUUUGAAAAUUUGAAGGUUCCGGAUCAAACUUAUCUGACUAUUAGUGUCGUUGUAAUGUUUUAAAUUUGUGUUAUAGUUAUGUUUUCAUGUAAUUUUUUAAAAUCUUUUUGUUAAGUUUUUUUUUGGAAUAUUAUUGUUGUCUAAAUCUAGCUUAAAAUCUUUUAAAUCUUAUUUUAAAGGUUUAUUUAAUUUUAUGUGUAAAAUUUAAAAUCUGCAAACAAAAUUUAAAAUAUUUAUGAGAUAAUUUUUUUAAGGAUUAAAACAAUAAACAAGAAAAUAUUUAUGAAUCAUAAAGGUGAUGUGUGAUUAUAGGGACCAAAAUGCAAAUAAAAAUAUGAAAUUUCAAAUUUGAAAUUUUGAAUAGUGAAACUUUAAAUAUAGAGUUUCACUCCUCAAAACUUUAAAUUUGAAGUUUUGAAAUUUAUUUUGGGAUAUCAAAAAAGCUUCAUAUUUGAAUUUAUAGAGUGUCUUUUGGAAAUGCUCUAAGAGCAUUAUUAUUGGCAAGCUCUAGAUUUGUCAUUAAAAUAAUCAAAGAAAAUGAAAAAGUAAAGAGAGAAUGAGAAAAUGGAAGAGAGCAGCUCUUUCACGAGGCGUUAUCUUGUAUUCUGAGAGCAUGCUCUAACAACUGCCUUAUUACUACUGGGUUAAUAUAUUUAUGUAAAAUUUAAUUUUUAUAGUUAACUAUAAUAAUAUUAAAUUAGGAGAGAUUCAUUGUUGAGAGACAAACCAAUGCAAAUGGCUCUAAUCUCCGGUUAAAGUCACUCAGCAACCACCACCCAAUCCUUUUUUCCCUUCUAAGAAAUUUCUCAAUCUUCGAGAUAUCAAAAAGAGAGGAUUUGAUUCUGUCAUGUCACAAUCCACACGUGCAUUUGCCUCUACACCAUCCAACACACUCUUUAAUCCUUGAUGAAACUUCUCCGUACGUUCCUUUAAAUCUCUACCACUUGAUUUUCUCCACAUUUAUAUAUAUUUGAACACAAAACAAGAGUCUUAGUAAUUAAUCACGACCCUACUUUCUCUCUGGCUUAGCCGGUAUCCAUUAAAUGUUGAUUCUUUUUUCUACCCAACAAGCUUUUAUUUCAACUCUAUAUUAAUUUUUUUAAAAAUUGAUUGAUUGAUGAGAGAGGUACGGAAGGUCAUAUAUGAGUACGGUGCCAGUUAAGAUUGUCGAGAUACGAAUAGGAUAGUUUUUUUUUGGAAAGUACAUGCAUUACAAGAGAAAGAAGGAUGAAUCUUCAUUUAUGAUUCCAUUUGUCUAUUUCUUCAGGUGGGGAUCACUCAGUAGUCAGUACUCUUUUUUUUUUCUUUCUUUUAUUUGAUCAAAAGUCAGUACUCUUCUUCGUUAUUUCUAAAGUAUGGCCAUUGCUUUUUUUUUUUUUUGGUAACACAUGGCCAUUGCUUAAUUACUCCUCUAUGCCCUUUCUGACUCUAUCCCAUUCACUGGAAGCCUAUAAGAAGUUAUCUUCUAAGAAUCUAUCUUUUUUUUGAGACUGAUUAGCAUUCACAAAUUAAGGAUUGGCAUAAUUACCUAUAAAAAUUUCAAAUUUAAAUUAUUUGUACCAUAAAUCACAGAAUGCAUAAUCUAUCUAAAAUUUAAAACUUUUAGACAAAAUACAAAAUUUUCCAUAUCUAAAGAUAUAUUAAGAUCUAACCUAAAUUUCGAUCAUAAUUACCUACUAGAAUUGACCCGCACUUUAAAAACGCAGAAUUAUUUUUUGUUAAGAAAUAUAUUAACCCGUCUGGUUGUUCAUUAAUAUCUCUAAGCGUGGACGUUCGAUUUUCCAUUUGAUUUCAAUUUGUUUUUAUUUUUAUUUUUGGGGUUUUGGUUUGGUUCUAGUUCAGCUGUAGUUUUUGGUCUUUCGAUUCAAAAGAUAUAAGUAUUGUUCGGUUAUUUAUCAAUUUGGAUCGGUUUCAAUUUGGUUAUUUUGGUUUUCGGUUUGGUUCAGAUAAUAAUGUUAAGAAUCUGAUAAAUUCUGGAUUUAAUUUGGUUUUGGUUUGGUUCCCGUUUUUGAGAUAAUUUCGAAUAAUUCAGGUAAAAAUAACAUUUGGAUUUUUGGAUAAAAAUAUCGGAUAAUUCCUAUAAAUUUAAAAAUUAUAGGGAAAUUACCACAAAUAACACAUUCAUAGUACCACUUUUCAUGUUUACUUAAAUAAUAAUUUAUUAUAUAUAUAAAUAACAAGGGCAUAAGAGUAUUUUGUCACUUAAUAAAGAAAAUAUUUUUAAAAAUGUCUCCUUAGUGGUGGUAAAAAUGAAAAGUGGUACCAUAAAAAUGGUGAACAUGUAAUUUCCCCAAAAUUAUAGAUGAAAAAUAUUCCAGUGAUUUGUUUAUAUCAAGAAAUUAAGACAAUUUUUAAUAUAUUGGAUAAAAAGUAAAAUAAAUGUAAUAUUGCAAGUGUUACAUAAAUUGUUUUUGAAAAGAAAUAUUGAUUUUUAUUGACAACCAUAUAAGUUCAAAAUACUCCCCCUGUUCCCGAAAGUAAGAUUUUCUAAAGUGUUCACGCUUAUUAAGAAUUCAAUAAGUGUUUAUAAUUUAAUUUUUAUUUUACUUUAUUAUACACUUUCUAAUAACUUUUCACCAAUAAAAUUUAAUCAAUUCAAAUAUUUUCAUUUAAUGUUUCUUAAAAAUAUAAAAAAGUACCUUAAACAUAUUCGACUGGUGACCAUUCUGGAAACAAGAGGAACAAAUAGAAAAAAAAAACGUAAAGGAAUAAAAUUGCAAAAAUGAAAAAGAAUGGUUGUUCCAUUUCAAAUUUAACAAGGCAUACGUUUGUUCUUUAUUUCUCUAUAAAAAAAAAGGAAUGGUAGGGAAUGCGAAGAAAAAAUUAUUCCUUGUGAUUGGUGAUAUUUUUUAGGAACGUUAGGGAACGCAUUAUUUCUCGCUGUUCUCUAUCACCAUUCAUAUCUAUCUUUGUGGAACAAGUAAGAAAUCUAAAACAUCUUACUUUCAAGAACGGAGAGGAGGGAGUAUAUCUUUUGGUGACUGACAAUUAUAGGCAAGAUGCCGAUUAUAAGUAGAUCUUCUUUAACAAUAUCGUAUUCAUACUAAAUUCUUAGCUAUAGUUUCUUUAACUAUCGUACAGAAUAUGCCAUAAUACCUACAAUGGUCACCAGUCGAUUUUGUAGGUAAAAUACUUUCUAUAGUAUUUAAACUUAGUUGAGCUAAGUUUUAAAGUGCAUAGUUUAGAUAUUAUUCAUUUUUAAUAAAAGUUUUAAAUUUCAUGGGAAUAUAUUACCUACAAAAUCGGUUCAAAAACCAAUAUAUAAAUAUAUAUAUAUAUAAAGGUUUUUCGGGUAAUACUAUAAUAUUAGUUGUAAAUAUCUUGUUUUCAAAAAUGUUUGAUAGAUAUUUAAAGAAUUGAUUUUUCAAAAAAUAAGUUUCAGAAUAUUUCAUUAUUUUGUUUAGAUUUUUCAAAGAUAAUGUGUUUAAAUUUAGUGGCACAUUUCAUAGUUUUCCACCCACACAGUUUGGAUCCCUAUUUUGUAAAGAAAAGUAGAUUUAAAAUGCAUGGGUAAUAAAUUGCAAUUGCAUGUGUAUUAGAACGUUUCAUAUCAGUUUAGAUCUCGUGAUAAUUAUAGUAUAUCAAUAGUAUUGUAAAGCUAAUAAAAUGCAAAAAAAAAAUGCAUGUGUAAUCCGAUAAACUAUAAAAGCACUAGGUGACUUUAGGUUUAAUUUCCAUCUACAGCCUUAAAAACUAGCAAUUAUACUUUACUAGUGGUUUGUCCGCGCUUCGCGCGGAAAUUUUACCAUUUGUAUAAUUUGAUUAUGAAUUGUUGUUGUUAUAUAUUAUUUUUUAUUGAGAAUUAGAUUUUAGAGUUGCUAACUGUGUUAUGCCAAAGAGUUGAAUCAUAUUUUUUAAUAACAUGUGAUUGAAUUGUUCAUAUCAUAUCAUGAAAUGUAGUUUAGUUUAGUCAAUGAUUUAUUUAUAUACUAAUAAAAGUAGACGGAUAAUAAUUUUUAUUUAUUGUUAAUGUAAACGGUGUGGCUUCAAAUGAAAACAAACAUGUACGUGCAGGAUAGAUGGUGUGAUGAGUUGAUAAGUAAUAAGAUGCUUCAAAUGAAUUUGUAUUUUAUUUGCUUAAAAUAUAGCACAGCUUCGUUACGGACUAUUUCUGAUGUUUUGCUAGUUAUCUUUUGGGCUACGGUAGUGUUUUUAAAAAGAAAACAAUAGGUGAGUAAGUGUAGGGUCGAUGGUGUGGUGAGUUGAAUUUUUUAGAAAUAAGAACUCUCCUCUUGAUUGCGUGAAUGUUAAUUAGCUUGUCGUAAGUGCAUCACCCCACCAUAACAAACCAUGAAUAACUACUUGGAGAAAGUGCAAAGACAGAUUUGAGAUGAAAAUAUUUGAGCAGAUUAAAGAUGAAACCUUUUAGCUCUCUCAGGGUCAACAAACCAAAGCUCAGCGAGUUUGUCAGGAGCCAUGGCUUUCUUAGCCUCUAUUGAUUACAAAGUCGAAGGGCCAUUAACAAAGAGGUUGAUGCCGUGUCUAGGUCUUGAAUUCUUAGACUCGGAAAACAGGUUCUCAGACUUAGUAGCAGAUGGUCCAGACCAAGAUUUUAUCUGUAGUGACAUAAGCAAAGAAUAAAGAGCAUACUUGGAUACGAAUACUAUAAAAACAUUGGAUCUUAAUUUUACAGCUCUGGCUUCUGAAUAUGUGGGUCUCCAACAUAAAUACACAUAACUCUCUCCUAGUCUGUUUACAUGUCCAUGCCUUCAGACUCAAGUAGGGUUCAGGGAAAAAUAGAGAAUCUCUAACUGUUUCUGAAGUAUUGUGCAACUCUACUGAAGCUCCACUUGCCAUCUGUGCAUUCCUAUGAAUUAGAAUUCAAAAAGUCUGGUUAUAAAAGUAAAUGACCAUCCGAACAGUUGAACUGUAGAUAUUUUCUCCUAAUCGCUGUGCUAGAUAUGAAAGGACAAGAGCUUAAGUCCCAAAAAAAAUCAGGAUGCUGCAAAAGACUCGAAAGUUAACAAAUUUUGUAUGAAACUUAGAAGUGCUAGAAAAUAAUAAAGCCUUACUAUCAGAAACACUAACACACGGUAAGUAACAUAUGACAAAGACAUUUAGAACCAGAGAAAGAAGCAAAGGUACAUAGCAUUUACCAGUCAAAAAAAUAGGAAAGAAAGAGCAAAAUCUCACUUACCUCCAUAUGGGAGAUGUAAAAUGAGUAUAUAGAAAAUGAUGGAAGCCCAUAAUGAAGAUAUUGUGGAGGACAGAGAUCACCCCACUACAGAAGUACACAGCCUGAGUAGUAAUAAAAUUUAAUGGUUAGAUAUGGUAGUCCUGCUAAAAUCAUCAGCAACUUAACAAAUUUAAUUAUCAUGGAGUGUUCUCCAACAUCAAAAGCCAUAAAUCAUAAAGUAGUAAUUGGAAUAGGAACCGGCAAACCUUUUUCAUCAAUGAAGUCGCCAUGACCGAGGGGUUUCUGGGAAAUAGAACAUGAGCUCUGAUUUGGAGAAUUCGCCAUGAUCGAAGGAUCUCUCAGGAGGUGUGUUUAUAUACUGAAUGAAGACGUUGAAGGUUGAAUUCAAGCGCCAUUGAAGAGGAGUUAGUAGGUAUUUGUCAUUUCUUGGCAUUACUACGAAGCAAAACGUUACCCUCGACUGUAAUUCUGUGAAAGAGAAGUAUUGUUUACGCGACGUUACAUCAUCUCCGAUGGUAGGUUUAGAAAGAUAAGCAACCUACAAAUUUGAAAACGGACCCUAACUACAUAGCCCAGUUUUGCAAUAUUUUAUAAAAUUUUAAGCAAGUAAUAGGCCUGAUAUAUGUACUUGUUAAACUCACAGCCCAUUCAACAUAAUUCGAGAACAGCUUUUGAUGAAUAAGGAGAGGGGUCCAGGUGGCACAAAAUGCCCCUCCCUCCAUGCUGAUGUGGCAGCAGGAGCUGAGAGAAAACCCUGUUUUAUAUAUAUAGAUAUUGGUUUUUAAAACUACAAAAAAAAAACUACAGCCAGAAAACAAAAAAAAUGAAUGUAAAAAUCUUAUUUUCUAAAGUUCCAUCUUUUUAACUGUAAGAAAUUUUAAAGCUACAUUCCUUAAAUCUAAAUAAAAAAAUCCUACAUACUAAAUUCUAAAGUAAAUUUUCUACAGUUGUAGCCCAACCAAUCACCAUUAAUAUAUAUUGCUUGACAUAAUAAAUUUUGUAUUAUGUAUUUUGUGCAGAUGCGCCUAAAUACUCUAAUACUAUUAAAGGUUUCAUGAUAUAUUGGUCAUAUAAGGAAAUAGGGUGUAAAUAGUUAUGAUCAUUAAUAAAUUCCUCGGUCCGUACUCUGUUCUCGGUGAGAUUGGCAGCCUGGGCGUGAUAUGCGGCCAGGGCUACGAGGAUUCCAUUGUCAGAGGUUUGAAAAUUUGAAGAGACCUCGCGACGUCGUUUCCGGGCUGACUUUUGGCGAGUUUUUCUCGAGGCGAACCUGCGGGCUUUCAAUUUCCUGAUGCCCCAUUUGUACUUCUUCCAACAAGCUGAAUUUAUAGCUUCGAUGGAAUUUUCCGGGUCAGGUGCCAACCUGAUAUUUCCCACACCUCGAAAUGUACAAAUCAAGAGAUGGGGAACUCAGGGAUUCUGAAUGCUCCUUAUCUUUGCCAUUGAGGCAUGGGGUUGUGUGAUAUAUGAUAAUGGUGAUUAAGCUAGAAUGUAGUACAUUGAGUCAUCCAAGGUUAGUAAUGAUUCACUUCCACCUAUCAUAUUUGCAGAAGUGAGAGUACUGAUUUUAAAUUAUGUUAAUUCCUGCUAUUUUCAAAAACCUCUUUCAUUAGGACUACUCUUGUUUUGCUUGAGAACAAACAAAAUGGUAAGUCUAGGGUAGUUGAUAUACCAUGGAUUUUAGAAGUUUUUUAGCCAUGCUAUAUAAGUGUUUUUGAACCUAUUUAUUAUUUUUUAGAGCCAUUUUAGAUUAUUUACAUGUUUAGCAGUGUUUUGGAGCAAUGUGGUGAUUUUGGAGCAUUUUGGAUAUAAAGUAAAAAGAAACUUGUAGCUGUUCGUCGAACCAGUCCAGAGUCGACAUUUUGAGUCAAACGUCGAUCGAUAAACACCCCCUGUCAUCGAUCAACAACGAAGCACGCAAGGGCCGACCUGGUUCCGAGCCGAAUUUUAGUCCACGUUCCACAACAAUUACAAAAAUACCCUUACCCGACUUUAACCUAAUAUUUUAUGUGCUCUGCCAUUGUUUUGGACAACACACACUUUUCAUACUUUCAUAUUUCCAUAGAAAACAUAUUCAGGGUUUUUAGUAGUUUGGAGAGAAGAUCCAAGACUCCUUAAGAACUUUGUAUUUGAACUCCAGUUUUUCUAUUCUAUUCUAUUUAUGCAUCUUAUUCACAUUAUUGCUAUGCUUUGAUUUGCUAUGUCUGAGUAAUUUCAAUUGUUAGAUUUAAGGUUUAAGUAAGGUUAUGAGGGAUUAGCCCAAACUAUAGAACUGCUAAAGUGAUAGACAUCCUUCAAGAAAAUGCUUGUGUUCUAGAGUAGCUAAGAUUUUAGGAUUGUGGACAACUACGACGAUAGGUUCUGCACCAGAAUAAAUUCCCUUGAGCUAGGAUCGCCAAAAACAAGCGUCAACUGAUUUAGUUAAGACUAGUGAACCUAUCGAUCAACUCGCUAAAGCUUUCCUAACUAAACAUCUAUCGACGCUAAUCUCAUAGCAUCGAUCGACGUACGGUCCGUAUCAACAAGCGGAAGCUGAGAUAUUGGAUUUAGUCAUAGGAAUGAUUCACAUGUGGAAGCUGGAAAACUUUCUCAUUAGAAUUCAAGUUCUAGGAUUGACAACCUAAGCAUUCUAUAUCAUUAUAAUCCUCUGAUUACUUGAAACCCUAGAUCUAACUACUUUCUCAUAACUGUUUACAACCUCAAUCAAUCAAUCAAUCAAUCAAUCAAUCAAUUGAACAACUACCUUGUUCACCUCUGCUGUUUAUUGAUUUACUCUGUUUGCCUAGCUUAAUCAUAAAUUGACUAGGAUCUAUUGUGUGCCUUAGUUCCUUGUGGAUUCGAUCCCUCAGUACGACUGGACCUCUUAUUUGAGAGAGUAAAAGUCACUCCUUCGGGGUAAUUUGAGUGAUAUCAGGGAACUACGACCUUCUCCUGCUCCUUGGCCGUGAAACUGAUUUUAUCUGUACCUAGGAGCGGGUGCUUUGGUCUUCCGGUUUCUUGGCCGUUCUUGGCGUUUCUGGUGCUUUCCUUUGCAGCCGCAUGGCUUACGCCACUUUUUUCGAGCCACCAGAUAUAACAUUUGAUGGCUCGUGUCGAGGUGGCGAGGCAUGGGCAUAUAUAGUGGGCUGAUUCGUUGCUUCCUUAUCAAGGGGACUUUUAGCUUUAUCCGAGAAGAACUCCCAGAUGUGACCUUUUUUUAGCAGUUCGUUUACUCUAUUCUCAGCACGACGCAAUCUUCCGUCUUGUGACCGUGGUCAUUAUGGAAGUCGCAAUACCGGUACAGAUUUCAGAAGGAAUCUGGUGCUUUAAUAUUCUGAGGCAACUUGACCUGUUGGCCCAUCUGACUUAGAACGUUGACCAGUUUUGGCUUUCAGAUAGAGAGAUUGGAGAUAUCUGGCAAUUUGCAUACUGUCAUCCCUUUGGAUUUUUCAAGGGGCCGGUUCAUAUACCUUCGCUGGUUCCUGUUUCCUGCCUCUUCUCCUGAAUUUUGGUAGAAAUUGUCGUCUCGGUUGCAUUUAUCUUGUCUGGUCGCCUUUUGGUCCUGUUUUGUUGAACCUUGGACCGGCUCGCGACAGUCUCUUCUCAUUUUACCUGCGCCCAAGCUCGAGACAACACGUCUUCCAUAGUCUUGCAUUGGUACGUGGUUUGCUCUUUGUAGAGGUCCCCAUCUGGGAGUAGGCCUCUCUUGAAGCCGAAAUUGCUGUUGAAGCAUUGCAUCCUGGGAUGGCUACUUUUUCUUGGUUGAAGCGAACUAUUUUGUUGCGUAAGGGCUCGACUCAAUGCUGGAGGAUCUCAUAGAGGUCGUCAGAUGUCUUCACAAGAUUCCUUUUACUCCUGAACUGCUCCACGAACUGGUCGGUAAGAGCCGCAAAUGAUCGUAUGGACCCAUUAAGUAGGUUAAUGUACCAUUGUAGGGCAGGUCCUGUCAUGGUUGAACCAAGCCCUUGCACAUGGUAGCUUCUCUCAGAUCCUUUUGGAUUGCUACAAUGAGCAUCCGUUGUUUGUAUUGAGCGACGUGAUUGUUUAGAUCGCUAGUACCGUCAUACAUCCUCAUGUUGGGGAAGGAGAACUUCCUCGACAUCUAUCAGAGCGAUCUCGUUCAUGAAGGGAGUAUCGGCGUAUGAAUUGGGACCACUCCUCCGAAUUGGAAGAGCUACUCAUGGGAGUCUUUCUACCAUGGAUUGGAUGGCGUCAAAUAUUUUGGAGAACACCCCCUCCAGGUAGGCGGUUAUAGUGUACCUUGUUGUUGUUGCUUCUGUUGGUGUCUCUUCUUCGGCAUCCAUCUCAGAAUCACUGUCUUCCAUGGCGUAUUCCUGAGUUUUCCAUUCAGUACUGUCCCCUGUAGUGGUGCCUCCAUCCAAUGCUGGAGGCUGUCGGGUGUUGUCACCUUCGGCGAUAGGAGUCUCUAGAGGUUGCAUGGGCCGAACUUGAGUUCAGAACCGUCGUCGCUUCUUUAAUUCUGCAUGGAAGGCUUGAUUUUCUUCUCGGAAAACGAGAUUCUCCGCUUUGAACUGAGAGACCUUUUCUGCGCUCUGUGCAAGUAGCUCAGAGUGCUUGCCGAGUUUCUCCUUCAAGCUUUGAACUUCUGAGAAAAGUUCAGGAUUCUCGGGGGUCGCGUCUUGAGCUUUCUGUAGCUCGGUGACUUGACUUUGCAGAGCGUCGGGUUGAUUUUGCUGGUCGAUCUCCCUUUGGGUAGACGUAGAUCGUUCGUCUUGCCCAUCCAGUGCCAUCGUCACGUAGUUAAGAUUACUCUCCUACUUCUAGCACCAAACUGUUAGGGUAUAUUUUUUGUGCAGGAUCUUUUGGAGUACUGCAGAACAAUGAAUAAGUAGUAGAAAAACAAGAAUCGAGAUUGAAAGAGAUUUUUUAUUGAUUGAAUGCGCAUGAACUACAAUGUUUGGUGCAUAAACCCAAGUUCUAGCCGCCUAGCUCUAAUAUGUUAGUCUCAUAAUGUUGAUCCCUCAUUCUAAGGUUGGGCUCCCCUUAUAUAGUCAAGUAGAUGUCGGUUUAGUAGGUUACACUCUUCCAUAUUCGAAAAUAUGGAAGAAUUCCCUUAAGUAGAAAACUUCCAUUUUACCUGGAGGUAAGGAUUAAAGCAGUGGUCGGAGCCGGGAUUUCUCCAGGCAGGAACCCGGAGGCCAGUGUCCUGUUCGAGGGCUGGAGGAAUUCUAUACCAGAGUAUUUGUUUCCAACAGAUCUCAGUAUCACGUUUUCUACAGCUUUACUCCUAAUAUUUAAGUACUUUGGUUUCCUACUAAGAUCCUAUUUAUGCUCUAAGUCCCCAAACUGAUUGUAUCUAAUAAAUAUGAGUUACUUCGACUAACGGGCAGCAUGAGAAUCAAUCUACUUAAGGGGCUAAUGAGUCGGAUCGGACCCAGAUGGCAAACCCUAUAUCCUUGCAUAUACGUGGCACACCCAAAAAUUAGAUGCAAAUGAUAUAUGACUAACGAAUGAAUAGGUCUGCGCAAGGCUAGGGAUGCUAUAAAAAAUACCUAGUUCCUGCAAAAAGGCCACAUGCCAAAGCAUAUGCAGUAAACCUCCACAUUACUAGAUCCUGCCCUUUGGAAAACGACCUUGGAGCCUCUAAAGAGAUUUAGGCAAGCUGCUACCUUCUCUUGCGACUAUCAAAGCUCCGAAGAAAAAUAAAAUAAAAAAUAGAUUCGAAGAACCCAUUUGGGGCAGAAGAAGAGGAAAAGAAAUACAUAUUCCUUGAAACAAGCAAAGUCAUUAAAUAAAAGGUCAUGAAGAGCAAGAGUUAUAAUACUCAAAUUAGAAACGUGAAAGCAUAGCAAAAAGUUUGAGACCAUCGAGGGACCAACAACAAAAAAACAGAUUAAAAGCCUCAUAGCAGGAAACAAGAAGAAGAAGUGAUCAGCGGGACGAGUUAACAGGAGGUACAUGAGGAACCGAUACAUGAGGAAAAUCCUCUGGAUGGCUGAUAUACCUUGGAUUUGACCCAUUUUUAUCCAUGGUAUAUAAGUAUUUUACUAUAUAUAUAUCUAUGUUUUCUACUCUUCUAGAUAUGUUUUCAGGUUCAGGUGCAUUUCAGAGUAAAGCUAUGACUUUGGAGCAUUUUGGAGCAUAAAAGAUAUUUCACCCGAGCUGACCACUUAGAGGUCGACGAGAGGAAGAAUAAUCGAUCGAUGCGCAUCAGUGCUGACGAUCGAUAUCAGGAAAUGCCUCGACAGAUGAAAAUUAAUAUUGAUCGAUGUACACAAGUACCAUCGAUCGAUGUCGAGACACCAGACGCGACAUUUUGGAUUCAGCAGACUUAAAAACCAAGGCCAAGCCAAAUUACCAAAAAUCCCUGACGAGUUUUUAACCUAGUAGAAUAUAUACUGCAAGUGUUUUGACGGCAGAGGGAGCUUGUUUUCUAGACCUAGUUUUGUUACAAGUUUCAUUUGGGAGAGAAGAUCACUUGUGAUUGGAACUCCUUGUUUCUAUUUCUUAUCAUCUAUUCUAUGAGUUUCUAUUUAUCUAUUGAUAUGAAUUGCUUUGCUAUGUCUGAGUAGUUCAACUGUUAGAUCCAGGGUUCAGAUAGGUUUGUGGGAUUAGCCCCAAACUAUAGAUCUGCCUUGUUGUGAUAUUCAUGAUAGAUUUGUAUUCAUUGCUUGUUUUAGCCUUGCUAACUAGAACUUGAUCAUAGGAUUGCAUAUUCGAGCACCCUUGUUAUCCCAUCCUGACAUCUAUCUAUCAUAUUAGGAUUGCUAGAGAGGGCUAACCGCCAAUUUAGAAUCUUAGUAAGGCAUUUCAUACUCGCGCAUAGGCCUGGCUAGAACCCGUCGAUCGAUGUCCUCAACUGACAAUCGAUCGAUGUUGGCAAAGGUGUAUCGGUCGACGUCUUAAUAGACUAUCGAUCGACACUCUCUCGUGUCUGCAUCUAACCGGUGAGACACGAGAUCUAGUCUGUUAACCAGUGGUACAUGCGACAGCUGAUCACUGAGUUAAGCGAAUGAGCUCUAAUAUAUCAUGCAUGCAACAGUUAGGCAUCUUUAGGUAUUAUAAUCUCCAACACCUGAAUAGUGGCCCUGCAUCUAAUAUCAUUUCCAACCAAGUUACAUUUAUUAUUUACUCGCUUGUUACUAUUGCUAUUUCAUUUAAACAUUUACAACCCUUAGAAUUAAUAAACACUAGAUUUAAUUGUUCCCUAUCUCCUUGUAUAUUCGAUCCCCAAGUACUACAUCUGAACCUCUUUUGAUGAGAGUAACACUCCUUAGGGUAAUUUGAGUGGUAUCAAAUUUGGCGCCGUUGCCGGGGAGUUUUGAUCGCCAUUAUAGAUUUAGUUUUAUUAAUUCUUAUUCUUUUCUUUACUCCCUUUCUAAUAAUCUUUUUCUUAUCUUUUCAGGUGCAUGCCAAGCGGUACCAGUAGCAACAAGGAGAAAGACUUGCUGUUCUCAGACGAUCCUGCUGAUUUGGAACGCACCAUCCGUAGAGGUCAACGUUCCACAUCGCUCGACGCAACAACUUCGUCGUCGAUCGAUACGCACAACCAACCGUCAACCGACACCAGACCAUCAUCGUCGAUCGAUCCCAAUCGUUCGACAACGAACGAUACUACAUAGCGUACGUCGAUCGAUACCGUGUCGUAAAAAAUGGUAAACAUUAUUAUUAUAACUCAGGAUGAGAACGAAAACCUGUAUGACCAGGCCGGUCAUCUGCGUAAUGCAACAGGUCAGAAAAUAGAUGCUCAGGGAACUGUAAUCCCUGAUGCUGAUGCUACAGGAGCUGCUCAACCUGUAGAUGAGGACGCUCGAUCGAAACCACUGGCCGACUACAAUCGCCCAGAUGAGUACUAUUCCAACAGAUCAGCUAUUCGACUUCCGGAGAUCCACAAGCAGAAUUUCGAGAUGAAGCCUCAAUACUACACUCUCGUGUCGCAGAUACCCUACUCUGGGUUACCGCACGAGCAUCCUAUGGACCAUUUGGAACGGUUCGAGGAUAUAAUCGCUAUUAUUCGGAUGGAGGGAGUCCCCGAAGAUUACCUGCUGUGCAAGCUCUUCAGAUACACGCUUAGGCAGCAACCCACAUGAUCUUUAACAUCCUGGAGCGAUGCACUGGCUUAGGCAGCAACCCACAUGAUCUUUAACAUCCUGGAGCGACAUUAAGAAUGUUUUCUUACGAAACUUCUUCGAUGAGGCGCGCUCUGAAGAACUUCGGAACAAAAUUUCCACAUUCUCGCAGAAGGCUGGAGAGUCUUUCAAAGAUGCGUGGAUUAGAUUUAGUUUUUUCCAGCGAGACUGUCCACACCAUGGAUUUAACGAAGUGCAGCUGCUAAGCAGUUUCUUCCGAGGUCUCGCCUUACAGUAUCAAAUGGCCCUUGAUACGGCGAGUGAAGGAAACUUCACUACUCGGAAUCCGUUGGAAGCUGUGAGACUUAUCGAAAACCUUGCUAACAGCAGCAGCACCAAAAACACUGACUCUGAACGGAAGAAGUCUGUAGCCUCUAUCGGGAAGGAACAGAUGGACGAAGUAAGAGCUAAGUUAGAUGUGGUGCACGAACUUCUUAGGAAGCAAGUCUGUUCAGCUGAAGGAGAAGUAGCUGAUACGGAAGGAGAAGAAGAUGUGAACUACAUCGGAGGUACCGGAUUCCAGAAAUUUGGAAACCAAGGCGGAAACAGAAACUUCAUUGGAAAUGGCCAGAGAAGUAACUAAAGUUCACAAUUUCAAAAACUCUUCAACAACAGCAAGAGCUACUCGAACUCUUACUACCAAAAUCCACCACCCCAGACUCAGGAAAGCUAGAUCGAAGAGAUGCUUGAUCGAGUACUGUUGGGACAACAACAAAUCACCGUGGAUUUCAACGGUAAGAUAGACUCCGCCUACAACAAACUGAACACCAAAAUCGAGACCUUAGGGACUCAGGUGAGAAAACUUGAAACCCAAGUAAUUCAAACGGGCGAGACUAUAAAGAGGCAAAAAGCUUUCGCUAGAGAGGCAGGAGCCGACAAAGGAAAACACCACGUAAAUGCCAUCAUAGAUGAUGAUUUCUGGCAAGUGGUGAGAAAUGAAAAGCUUGAGGAAGGAGAUUUCAAAAUCGAAAGCUCCAUGAGUCUCGGCGGAUCCCAAUGGUGUCGACCGAUGUCGAUGAACUCGCAUCGAUCGACAGACCAUGAUGAAGAUCGAUGGACGGAUUACUCCAGUCAUCGAUCGACGUCGUCUGCCAAAUCGACUGAAUGCAAUGCGGUUCGAAUUCUAACUCAUGAAGAAUUUGCAGCUAAGCAUCCUCACCCACCCUCCCCUUUCUAUGAAAAAAUCGAUCGAUCGGUUGAGCCAACCAUCGAUCGACAUAGUGAGUCCGACGUCGAUCGUCACAACACACCUCCCAUCGAUCGACAGGCACCUCUGACAUACCGAGUGCGGUUACCCUCAAUCGAUAAUGAUUACAUCAACGCACUCAGACCACCAUCUAAACCCUUAGCAAACCCACCCGAACCAAAACCUAACCCUUUAAAUAGUUCACCAGAAUCAGUUCAAGAAGAACAAGAAUCUGAAGGGAGAAGGUUAAGGAAAAAAAGGGAAAAGAUUCCUAAAAACCUUAAGAGGGAAGCUAACGAUAAGGAGAUGGAUGGUUUCACUAAACGAGUCCUCAUAAUCCCAAUCGAAAAACCUUUUGAUGAAGCUUACUUCACACACCGGUUGUGGAUGUUCUUCAGAGAAACAAAUGUAACUGAGGAGGACAUUAGGAGAAUGUUUCAUCAAGUCAGAGGGAAGAUGAAACACAGGAUCACAUUGACGAAGAAGAGUGAUCCUGGGAAGUUUGCAAUACCAUGCGUAGUCAACGGUGUUGAAUUUCCCCAUUCAAUGUGUGACACAGGAGCAUCAGUUAGUAUCCUCCCUAGGAUCAUGGCAGACCAGCUUGGUUUGACCAUCGAACCCUCAACAGAAUCCUUCACUUUCGUGGAUCUUUGAGAGAAACGAUCAAGAGGCAUCAUAAGAGAUCUGGAGGUACUGAUUGGUAAUGCCCUUGUCCCUGUAGAUUUUCAUGUCCUAGACAUCGAGCUUAACUGGAACUCCUCACUUCUGCUUGGAAGAUCUUUCCUAGCUACAGUAGGAGCUGUAUGUGACAUGAACAAAAACAAAUUGUGUCUAACGCUCAUAGACCCAAACAUCCACUACGACCCCAUCCGACCUAAGAGAAAGGUCAUUAAUUAUGUGGAUUAUGGGAAAGAACUUGGCUUCAUUGGCGCAUGCCAUUGUGGAGCAGGGUAUGAAUCGGAGUACGAAACAGAGUACUCGGAAUCGAUCGACACCCCAACCUUUCCAUCGAUCGAUUCCAAUGUGUCAACGGUGACCGAUGACCGCAACAACACGUCACUCGACGUAAUGCACCCAGUUGACCAUUUCGCUCCACCUAAUCAUUGCUACCAACACUUUGCCUUCCAACCUCCAAGCAAGAGAGGACAUGAUGAUUAUUCCAAAGGCAGUUGGGCAGACAGUGGUUUCCAUGAAAGUUUUGCAGUUGACACUGCAAUUACUUCACCUAAUGAGGAACAGACGGAGGAUUACGAUGAGGAUUAUUGGAAAGAACGUGCAAUAGAAAUGUCUUUGCAUGAUGUAAGACUUGAAACACACAUGUUCACCAACACGUUUCCAACAUCGUUCGACGCUGUGCACUCCACAUCGGUCGAUACCCACCCUCGUCCAGCAAAACAACCGCUCAAAUCGAUCGACACCCACACUGGAACAUCGAUCGAUAUUCGCGCCGCAGCGAAAAUUCAGGAGCAGGAGAAUAUUCCCUCCCCAACUAGGUUUAUAGAUACCUAUAUAAAUCGUUUUGCACCUCCGAAACCACCUACACACAUCAGAGCAAACACACAAGCAAAAAGGAUAAAUACCCUUCCUUCUACAUCUACAGAAAAAUCCAUGAAGAGCAAUCAUCUCAAGAACACAAGUUCUGCAUAAAUUACUCUGCCAUCGAUCGAUGUAACUGUAUCUACAUUGAUCGAUACUACUCUAAACCCUAAUCUUUCUAUUUCUAAAAUGAAUAAUUAUGCAAACAUUGAUUACGGUUUUCUAACACCUGAUGAAUUUGGUAUUUUCAGGGACCCAGAUGGCAAAGCACGUGCAAUGGAUGGAAGGAUUUUACAAGUGUCCAGAGAGGACAUAUCAGACAUCCUUCAAGUAGCCAAUAGACCUAACAACCUAUUCUCAUAGCAACGUGGCACUCCAGACGUCAUUCAAACAGAUCCUAACAACCAUGCAGGAGUCGCCACAACAGAGAUCAACCCAGAUCUAUCACGCCAACCAAAAGGGCAAGCAUCGAUCGACGGUACAACUGAGACAUCGAUCGAUAGGGUAACACCAACGCCGAUCGAUAUAGAUGAACCGACGUCGAUCGACAGACGGUAUGAAUGUGGGAACUGCGCUUUCAACAUGUACGGAGCCAGAAAGUUCAGUUGGGAACAAAGGGACGAGUAUGGAGUCUACAGAGAUGAGCGUGGACACACACGAGGCGUAGCUGGUGAGAUGACACCUGUCACAAAGGACAACAUCAGGAAAAUACUGGAAAGAGCAUCUCUUUUUGAAGAGAGCCACAUCUGUCUUCCAGAACAUGCCACUUCCUUCACACUCACAAGACUGGCACCAGAACUCUACACCAACGAUGAAAUCGAUGAGAUGGUGUUUGGUAUUUGUGGAGCUCAGGAGAAACUGGGAGAGUAGCUCAAAACAUUGGUGGAAGAUACACAUCAGCCUUUGGAUAGAGGCUACAAUGAGCUUUUCAGAUGUAUGGCAGAAAUGAGGACAGAAAUUGAGAGUUUACGUCAGCAACUUGAGAAGGAAGCUACGACCUCAGCAUCGAUCGACGCACCACAUGCAACAUCGAUCGACGUCAGUCUUCCUACAGCUCAGAUCCCUGCAGAACCGCAAAGUUCAACACAGCAAAGGGAUGAAUGGGAAGUCUCAUACAUCGACAUGAGGAUAAACGAUGUUAACUGCCCUCUCAACAACAACGUGGACUGGCUAAGCACUAAUAUCAAGCUACUACAGCAAGAUCUGGACACCAUUCGCAAGAAGGACCAACUACCAGCAACAUCGAUCGACAUGUGUACCUUCACAUCGCUCGACGCUAAAGUCUCAGCCAUGAAUGAGAGGCUGAGGACUUACGAGGAUAUGCAUGACCGUUUUAUAUCACCAGUCAUGACAUAGUCAAUUACUUCAUGCCCAAAAGGAUAUUGAGAACAUUACUAAUCAAAGUUUUUUGCAGGCAACAUCAGCAUCGAUCGACAGGCUACGAGGGCCUUGGAUCGAUGGCAAGAAACCUGUGGAGUUACUUCCUUACACAACAGCAGAGGUUGACAAGAUCACAUCCAAGAACUACACUGCUCUAGACACCAUGGAGGAACGACUUGACAAACGCUGCGAUGACAUCUACUUUCCAUUCGACAACAAAAUCAGUGGACUAGACAACCACGCCGAAUGGCUACAGAAAGAAGUCAAAGCCAUUCAGAGGCAACUCGCAGCUCAACACCAGAUAUCAGCAUCGAUCGACAGGACAAUAACGAAUCGAUCGAUGGCAACCCGCCAAGAUCGACCAACGAACACAUAAUCGCAUCGAUCGACGCCGAGUCUACACCAAUCGGCGAGCAGCUGAUACACAAGACAGUAGAGUCAAUGCAAAAGGAAAUGACAGAUCUUUCAGCAUACGCCUAUGACAACAUAGGCUGACACCAGGUCAGCAUUGACAACGUUCAAGAAAGGCUACAGAACAUCUCCAAUGUACUUGAGAAAAUAAAUGACAAAUGGACAAGAAAUGAUGAGGCCACAAGAAGUUUCAUUGCAUCUUGGUCCAGAAUGCGCAGAGAUGACGUGGAUGCUUGCUUUCCAACAUGCAGCUGCUUCUCCACCCAAUAGCCAAUCACUACCACAGUCAAGCUAAAUGACUAUAACCAAGCGCUGAGUGGGAUGCAACCCACUAUUAGGUAUUUUUCUUUGUUUUAUUAGCUAGCAUUUAAUUUCUUUCGUUUUAUUUCUUUCAGAUUUAGGAGACCCAAGUAGGAGGACCUGAAUAUCGACCGACGACAAGACGUUGACAUCGUUCGACAUAGGCAACCACACGACGAUCGAUGUAACACUUACACAUCGAUCGAUAUCUAAUCCGGUCAGAUGUAUCUUCUUUACUUGUUACAUUUCGUACAUCAUGAACUAUUCAUCAUAACUCCGGCUGAGUUACACUGAGACAGUGUAAUUUAAGUCUGGGGGAGAUUUACUGAUAUAAUUUAUUUUAUUCUUAUGUAAAAAGGAAUUUCAAAUAAAUUAUGCUUAACUAUUGAAAAUAGGGACUAUAAUCCUAUAUUGAUUUAAACAUGAAUAUCUAACUAAUCUUUAGCACCAUUUUAGAUUUACUGGUUGCAGAUAGCACUAAAGAUGCUAAAGCGGAUCAACCUAUCAACUACACACUUGCCUUGAACCGUAUGAAGUAACCAAAGCUGAUUUCCAACACUAAACCUGACAUAACCGCUUGUCUUGGGGCUUGGUAUACAUGGGAUCGGAUUCUUCAGACAUGUCUGGAAGGUAACGCCUGGUUUAGAUUAUUUAUCACAUUUUCGCUCUCUAAGUUUCGACCCUAGAUUAGUUAGUAAGUCUAUAUAAAAAAAUAAUAAUAAUAAUAAAAAAAAAAAAAAAGAAUAAAAGUAAAAAUAAGAUUUAUUGUUUAAUUAGGAUGAGUCUGAACAAGACUUGGUGGCUAAAACCAUUAAGGCUUGAUUCCUAAAGACUCAAAUAAAAGAGUUCGAAACGAGACUUGGAGGCGGCAAUCUUCAAGGCUCGCUUUCCCAAAGAACUCUUAGAUAUAGGUCAAAAAGAAGUGAACAGAACUUGGUGGCAACCACCAUUAAGUUUUGGUUUAUGGAAGCCUGUCCAAUCUUGGUCACUGAUCCUGCAAUGGAAGCAGACUUUGACUCAAGAGAGAAAUUUAGAGAGAGAGAAACUAGGAACUAACUUUUACCUGCAGCUCCAGAUACCUGUCUGAAAUCCUUGCAUCAUGUGAUCGAUACUCCCAAGGUAAAGCAUUCACUUUAUAUUUAUGCUAAUAAAUGAAAUCAGUAGAGGGGAUGUCAGACGUGAAUUGAUGAGUUGUGUUAUGUUAGAAAUGGUUGCUAAGCUAGGAUAUUGCAUAGUGUGCUUUUGUGAUUAGGACUUUUUAAAUGUGGUUGCAAAAUUGUUGAAGAAAGAUUUCUAUGUUUUAAAAUCUUAAGUUUCCAAAUAUUUUCAAAGCUCUUUCAGAGAGACUGCCUGUAUGUUUUGCUUGAGGACAAGCAAAAUGGUAAGUCUGGGGGAGUUGAUAUACCUUGGAUUUGACUAGGGCUGGGAUUUCGGAUAUUCGGUUCGGGUUCGGAUAGGAACCGAUCGGGUCCGGGUUUUUCGGAUAAAUGAAUUCUAUACCCAAUGAGUACUUAGUAGAUUUCGGUUCGGAUUUCGGAUCGGGUACUACCGGUUUCGGGUCGGUUCCGGAUACCCGUUUCUUAUGUGAAUUAUAUAAAUAUUUGCAAAAUAAAAUAAUUAUAUACCAGUUUUUUAUUUUUAUUUUUUAUUUUUUUAAGGAAAAGUAAAUAGAAAUCGUAUAUAUAUUAGUAACAUGUAUUAAAUACAACAAAGUUGAACUAGUCUAGUGGUAUAACAGUUGUUGCUUUGCCUAUCCAACCCGGGUUCGACCCUCAGAAGAUACAAAUCUAUGUUUUUUAAACAUAGAAUUCGGGUUAAACGGGUACCCGUUCGGUUUCGGGUAAAAACCGAAACCGAACCGAUACCCAUGGAUAAUUAACACUAAUAUCCGUCGGAUAAAUUGUCUAGGACCGAAACCGAACCGAACCGGUCCAUUUCGGAUCGGUUCCGGUUCGGGUAUUCGGUUAUGGAUAAAAAUCCCACGCCUAGAUUUGACCCAUUUUUAUCCAUGAUAUAUAAGUAUUUUACUAUAUAUAUAUCUAUGUUUUCUACUCUUCUAGGUAUGUUUUCAGGUUCAGGUGCAUUUCGGAGUAAAUCUAUGACUUUGGAGCAUUUUGGAGCAUAAAAGACAUUUCACCCAAGCUGACCACUUAGAGGUCGACGAGAUGAAGAAUAAUCGAUCGAUGCGCAUCAGUGCUGACGAUCGAUAUCAGGAAAUGCCUCGACAGAUGAAAAUUAAUAUUGAUCGAUGUACACAAGUACCAUCGAUCGAUGUCGAGACACCAGACGCGGCAUUUUGGAUUCAGCAGACUUAAAAACCAAGGCCAAGCCAAAUUACCAAAAUGCCCUGACGAGUUUUUAACCUAGUAGAAUAUAUACUGCAAGUAUUUUGACGGCAGAGAGAGCUUUUUUUCUAGACCUAGUUUUGUUACAAGUUUCAUUUGGGAGAGAAGAUCACUUGUGAUUGGAACUCCUUGUUUCUAUUUCUUAUCAUCUAUUCUAUGAGUUUCUAUUUAUCUAUUGAUAUGAAUUGCUUUGCUAUGUCUGAGUAGUUCAACUGUUAGAUCCAGGGUUCAGAUAGGUUUGUGGGAUUAGCCCCAAACUAUAGAUCUGCCUUGUUGUGAUAUUCAUGAUAGAUUUGUAUUCAUUGCUUGUUUUAGCCUUGCUAACUAGAACUUGAUCAUAUGAUUGCAUAUUCAAGCACCCUUGUUAUCCCAUCUUGACAUCUAUCUAUCAUAUUAGGAUUGCUAGAGAGGGCUAACCGCAAAUUUAGAAUCUUAGUAGGGCAUUGCAUACUCGCGCAUAGGCCUGGCUAGAACCUGUCGAUCGAUGUCCUCAACUGACAAUCAAUCGAUGUUGACAAAGGUGUAUCAGUCGACGUCUUAAUAGAAUAUCAAUCGACACUCUCUCGUGUCUGCAUCUAACCGGUGAGACACGAGAUCUAGUCUGUUAACCAGUGGUACAUGCGACAGCUGAUCACUGAGUUAAGCGAAUGAGCUCUAAUAUAUCAUGCAUGCAACAGUUAGGCAUCUUUAGGUAUUAUAAUCUCCAACACCUGAAUAGUGGCCCUGCAUCUAAUAUCAUUUCCAACCAAGUUACAUUUAUUAUUUACUCGCUUGUUACUAUUGCUAUUUCAUUUAAACAUUUACACCCUUAGAAUUAAUAAACACUAGAUUUAAUUGUUUCCUAGCUCCUUGUGGAUUCGAUCCCUAAGUAUUACAUCUGAACCUCUUUUGAUGAGAGUAACACUCCUUAGGAUAAUUUGAGUGGUAUCAAUGGCCACCCCCCACCGUCAGUUGUUACUAACAGAUUUUUUCUUAAGGGUUCAGUGUUCAAUCUGCUUCUCCAACCAUUCCUUCAUAAGCUCUCAGCAGACAAUGACUCAAUCAUUAUGAAUGCCAAGUCCUUCUGGAAUGUCAAAGUCUAAACCUUCACACGAAGGAAAAGGAUCUGGCCCUGUAACCUCCCUCACUCUGAUCCUUGAACAACUCCCCUUAGCUUGCAGCGACAUGAGCUCAUCUCCUCCCAAUGGUUAUAUUCCUCCGGGUUGACAAUUGAAAAAGAGGCAUCUACAACUGCAAAAGCAUGUACAUUUUUAACUGAUGCGGUAUAGGAGAGAGGACGCCUCUUCCAGGCUUUAUCCUAUCAUACUCAUUGUAAAUGGCAGCCACCGAGAUCUUCAGAUUAUUCCUUGGAAAAUAGAACAAAAGGGAAUGUGGGAAAGUAAACAGCUAAUUCAUAGCUUGUAUCAGAGAUCCAUGAAAAGAUAAACUUACCCAAGGCCUCUCGAGUAACCCAAAAUGAAAUCCAUCUUAACUGCCAAUGGAAUAGCAGUGCCACUUUCACCGUCGCCUCCCCACUAAACAAUACAAUAUGGGAAACAGCUGGAACAAACAUAAUAAAUCAGUUGGAGAUGUUACAUAUAAAUUCACUCUUGAAAAUUGUGAGGCAACUUACCAGCACGACGCCAAACACAAAGGAAAACCCGAAGCCCCAUUAACCUUCAUAAACAUGUACCUCCUAUUCAGCGAUCUCCGAAGGGAUAACUGCCUAUAAUGCCCUUCAACAGCUCCUCGAAUAUGGACUGACCAUCUAAAGAAUGGAUAUUGUAAAAGUAAAGGAUGUCGUGUUACCAAAAGAUAUACCAUGAAUUUUUUCUAGCACCUGAGUGGCAAUAAGAGUUCGCCAAGUCACAUCUACAAGCUUCAGUUUGUAUCUUCAACUUUCCCUUUUUGGUUUUGUUUACCGAUCAAGGAAAAAAUCCUUCUGGUUCAACAACCAUGCUUCAUCACCUAGAAACUUCCACACUGUAUGUUUUUCCCCACGAGAUGUGCACUAUCUAGAUCUUCCAUAUUAGAUAUGCUUUUCACCUCCAUGAGUUAUGAACUAUCUACGUCAAGGCAUCUAUCACACAAUGUUGUUCUCCCCAAUGAGAUAUGCACUCCUUAAAUCAGAACGUCACCAGUUCUCCCCUUGCUUGAUUGUAUAUGAUAUCACUCAAAUUACCCUAAGGAGUGAUUUACUCUCUCAAAUAAGAGGUUCAAUUAUAGUACUUAGGGAUCGAAUUCACAAGGAGCUAGGGCACACAAUAGAUCUAUCUAGUUAUGUAGUUAAGCUAGGCAAGUAGGUUUUAAAAUAGUAAAUAGCAAGGCUGAACAAGUAGUUAAUCGAUUGAUUGAUUGGGGUUUUAAAACAGAUAUGGGAAACGUUAGAUUUAGGGUUUCUAUUCAAACAAUCAGGUUUAUAGAGAUAUAGAUUACUAAGCAUAUAUGGAUAUUCUAGAACUCAAACAACGAGAAUAGUCAAUCAACUUUCGUAUAUUUAUACUAUCUAUCGCCGGAUCUAGGACCUCAGCUGUCGUUUGUUGGUCCUGAGAAAGUGCCGAUCGAUUCUAACAACGGGGUGUCGAUCUAUACACCUUUCAGCCCAUCGAUCGAUGCAACUAAUGAGUGUCGAUCGACGUACCUUCCAUGGAGCGUUAUCGCACGGGUUUCCGCUUGUUUCUAGCAAUCCUAGCACAAUCUAAGCUAAUCAGACAGAGAACCAAACUUCCGCUUGCGUCCUACUAUCUAUAGGCAAGGUCCUAGUUAGCUACUGUAGAACACAUGCAUUAAGAACAGUCUAGUUGAUUCAUAUUCAUGACACUUAGCAAUUCUAUAUUUUGGGCUAAUCCCUCAUGUAUAUCUGAACAUAAAUCUAACAAGAUGAACUACUCAUACAUGGCUAAGCAAUUCACAACAAUAAGAUAAGAAAACUGCAUAAAAUAGAAUAGAGUAAAGAAACUGGAGUUCCAAUCACAAAUCUCUGAAGAAGUUCUUGGAUCUUCUCUCCACCCUAAGACUCUAAGUAUUUUUCUGUAUGAAAGUAAGAAAGUAAGAAAGUGUGUGUUACCUAGAACAAUGGAAGAGCACAUAAAUAUUAGGUUAAAACUCAUCAGAGGUAAUCAGGUAAUUCUUGUGGGGCUUGGGAUUUAAUUCGGCUGCAACCAAUUAGGCCUCUGUGCGCUUCGUCGUCGAUCGAUUAUUGCUUUCGCCCAUCGACCAAUAGUCAUGGUCAACGGUCAGCUACUGGUUUAUCAUUUUAUCUCCAAAAUCACCACUUUCCUCCAAAUCACUCCAAAACUUGAAAAAUAUAUUAAAAAGACCCCAAAACAACUAUAAAGCAUUUAAAAAUACUUAUAUACCAUGGCUAAAAAUGGGUAAAAUCCAUGGUAUAUCAACACCCCCAGACUUACUCUUUUGCUUGUCCUCAAUCAAAACAACAAGCAGUCUUUCUUAAAGGUGUUUUUGAAAACAGCAGGGACUCACAUAAUUUAAGAACUUACUAUCAUCACCUCAAUAAUAUUGCAACCACAUCAAAUCAGUCUUAACUUAGAAGUACUUUCUAUGCAAUAUCCUAGUUUAGGAACAAACUCCAUUCAUCCAACAGUUUAGCAAAUCAUGUCUGACUAACCCCUCUACUAACCUCACUUGACACAUGUAAAUAAAAAGGUGUAGGCUUUACCUUGGGAGUAUCGAUCACUGAACACAUGGAAUCAACUCAAGAAAGUAUCUGGACUUGCAGGUAACUUUUUCUGAUUUUCCUUCUCUCUUCUCUCUUCUCUGAAUCUGAUUUUUUUUGCUAGGCAAAGUUGUAGGCGAAUAGUGGGGUCAUCGAUAAUGUAUCUACCCCUCGCUUUCAAACAAUGUGUGAUCAUUCUAUUUUGUAGAAUAAUGGGGUCGUAGGAGACACUCCUACCCCUCUACACCGCAAGAAAUCAUUUCGAUCUUUUGUAAAUAUAUAUUGAUGCCAAAGAGAGUUGGAAGGAAAACAAGGACACUAAGUAUAAUACCUUCCACACUUGAAGGAGGAUUCCGAUCCAAUGUAUACCAAUCCCCAAGACAAGCAAGUUAAGCUCAAUUAGGUUGGAGGUCAGCUUGGUUCUUUCAAACAUUCUCAGCAAGUGUGAAAAAUUUGCAGGAUGUUCCAUUUUAGAAUCUAUAGUACAAUACGCAGUCAAUAAAUCUAAGAAUGGUGCUAAAGAGUGGUUAGAUGAGUAAGGAAAAUUAUAAAAGUUUAUUGUCCUCUUCUUGAUUCGGUAAAAAAUUUUAGAAAACAUUUUUAGACUCAUAGGUAAAUAAUAUUAGUAAACCUCACCCCAAACUUAAAUUACAUUGUCCUCAGUGUAUAUCUAGUCGGAGUUUGGUAAGAAUAUAUAUCACAAGUUUUGAAUGUAACAAGGAGAAGGAUAUACCUUAUCGCUGAUGUCGAUGUCGAUUGACACGGGGAUGUGUCUAUCGAUUGGUGUUGGUGUUGUACUGUCGAUCGAUGUCGACCUUGUCUCAUCGGUCGAUGACAAGUAACCUCUCCUUGGUUCUCUUUUUGGUUUUUUUCUGGUUUUUCUAUUUUUUUAUUUCUCUUAGACCUGCAAUAAAGGUAAAAACAGAAAUAAAUAACUAGGAAAUAUUAAAACUAUAAGAAAUUAUCUAUUAUUAGGUUGUAUCCCACUCAAUGCUUUGUUAUAGUCAUUUAGCUUGACUUUGGAGGUUGUAUUUGGCUAGUAAUGAUCAAAAUGACCACUUGACUGUAUGAAAGUGUCCACUUCAUCUUUGCUCAUCUGGAACCAAGUGCCAAUGAAGCUUCUUAUGGCCUCAUAUCCUCUUGUCCACUGAUUCUUCAAUCUUUCUCUAGCAACCUCACUUGCAUGCUGAAGAUUCCCAAUGCUGCGCUAUUGCAUUCCAAGUCUGGUAUAUGUUGUUUCUGAGAUGUUCGUCAGCUCUUGGUAGACAUCUUCUGUCAGCAAGUCUUGAGAGAAAGUGAUCUCAUCAAGCUUAUCUUGUAGUGACUUUUUGGUAACCAGCUUGCUUCGUAGUGCUGCAUAGUCGUUUUCGAUCUAUGGUCGAGUUCCUCUAUCGAUCGAUGGUGAUGGUUCUGCUUAAUAAUCGAGUUGUCUCUUAAUCGUAUCCAUCUCGUAUCACGUAGUGGGUAAUAAACACCAUCAUACCGAUAGGUGAAUUAUUGUAGCCUAUCUUCGAAUGGUGCGAGGUGAGCCUUGAUCGAUGCUUGGAUGAAAGCGUCGAUCGAUGGUUGAGCGUGAGCGUCGAUCGAUGUGUGAGCGUGAGCGUCGAUCGAUGUGUGAGCGUGAGCGGCGAUCGAUGUUGAUCAUUAUCCGCCGAGUACAUGUUGAUUCUGAAGCAUGGUUAUGUCUUGCUUCAUCUCAUCCGUGCGUGUGGUCAACCAGCAGAUACUGUUGUCGAACGGGUAGUAGACGUCAUCGAGCCUCUUAGAAUGAUAAUCAUCUGAAGUUCAGAUAGCUUUGUAGAUCUCUGCUACUAACUCAUCAAUCUCUGCUUUGUUGUAGCUAUUCUGCUAUGAUACGGUCGGUAUGUAUACCUCUGUGUUCUCUCAACGAGGUUUCCUCUUCCUGUUCGGAUGAAGUGUGUUUCGUUUGGAUUCAAAGUGACUGUCGAUCAAUGGUGCUUCUGCGUCGUUGAUCGAUGGUGGAUCGUUUGAUCUUUCUUCGGGUUGAAGAACUUACUGGACCUAUUCAUGGCAAUGAUAUCAGCUAUGUCCUCCUUGGAUAUGUUGAGAAUGCGUCCAUCCAUUUCUCUUGCUUGACCUUCUGGAUCCCCGAAAAUACCAAAUUCAUCCGGAGUUAGAUAACCAUAAUCUAUAUUAUCUUUGACUUGUACCUCAAGAUUAGGUUUUUGAUGAUCAUCGAUCGACGAUUUGAUGCUGCUGUCGAUCGAUGUUGACGUCGCAUCUGCAGACGAUGUAUGGAGAAGUCCUCUAUCAUCCAUGGCAAGACUAUGAUACUCAAUGUUCUUCUCUCUAUGGUAGUCGUCGUCAUACUCAUCAGAUCUCAUCUCCGGUAGUUCAGUGUCUAGUGAGAAACUCUCACGAAGGCUCUCAUCUACCCAAUUGCCAAUAUAAUAGUUGCCUUGUCUGCUGAUCGUAUCACCAUAGUGGUAAUCAAUCAAUGUCUGAGGCUGGGUAGCAACGUCAAUGUGCGGAUAAUAGUGUGCUGGCAAAGCGAAAGUAUCAUUCGCAGGACUGCUGUCGAUCGAUUCUCUGAACUUGUCGUCGAUCGGCGGAUGAAUGGCAAUGUAGAUCGAUGGUGGAGUCCCGCUAUCAUCGAUCGAUCCUGAAUACUCGGUUUUGUAUUCAUCCUCAUAAUGCAGUGUCAUGCUGCAAUGAAUCCGGUGUUAACUCCAGUGUUGGACGUCUGUGGCCUCACAACUCUGGCUGGAUCGUAGUGGGCAUCAGGAUUUAUCAGUGUUAGUCACAGCUGAUUAGUCUGCAUAUUGCAAACUGCUCCUACAGUGGUCAUGAAAGCUCCCCCAAGUAUUAGAGAAUGAGUCUUGUUCUGCUUGUUUUCCAAGACAUGGAAGUCGACUGAAACUAGGGCAUUGCCAAUCUUCACCUCAGGAUAUAUGAUGAUUCCUCCUGAGCUCCUUGUAGAAUGAUCCACGAAAGUGAAUGAGUCCUCUGAAGGUUCUACCUUCAGACCCAGAUGGUCUGCUAUUACGUUGGGUAGUAUGCUGACUGAUGAACCUAUGUCACAAAGCGCACAUGGAAACUCAAUGCCCUUGACCAAACAUGGCACUGCAAAUUUACCAGGAUCACUCUUCUUCUUCAGUGUAAUCCUCUGCUUCAUCUUCUCGCUGAUCUGAUUGAAGAUUCUAUGUAUGUCCUGCUCAGUUUCCUUGGUCUCUCUCAAGAACAUCUACAACCUGUGGGUAAAGUAAGGCUCCUCGAAUGGCUUGUCCAAGGGUAUCUUAAGAACUCUUUUAGUGAAGCUAUCCAUCUCCUUCUCAUUAACUUCUCGCUUGAGAUAAUUAGGAACCUUUUCCUUUCUUUUCUACAAGGUUAUCCUCUCAGAAGUCUGAUCAACUCGCAUGGGCUCUGGUGCAUCAUCUAAAAGCUAUUCGAAGUUAUCUGCCAUGUGUUCUGAAGGUUGAGAUGGGUUUCUGAGUGCAUUCAGUCUUACUACGUCUAUGUUUUGGUAACUGCACUCGGUGGGUCAGAGGUGGUCGUCGAUCGACGUUAGAUGAGUUGAAUCGAUCGUCGGUUGAGUCUGGCUGUCGAUCGACGGCUGGAUCCUUGUGUUGAUCGAUGUAUGACUUCUUGAUACAUAAGGGUUCAGGUGGAUGUGGGUGUUUAGCUGCAAACUCCUUCUUGAUACAUAAGGGUUUGACUCAAUAAAUUUUUUAUGAAAGCAUUGUAAUAACUACAAUUAGUAAACCCUCCCCCCCCCCAACAUCAACUAUAUUGUCCCCAGUGUAAAUUCAGUCGGAUUUAUGGUGAAAACUAAAUCAUAAGGACUCAAUGUAACAAGUUAGAACGAUAUACCAGACCGGGAUGGAUGUCGACCGAUGUAAGGAUGUUAAUAUCGGUCGCGGCAGGUGAUUCUCUGUCGAUCGAUGUUGACAGUGUCUCGUCGGUCGAUACUCACGGCAAUCGUCUACACGGAUAUCUCUUUUUUUUAUGACCUGCAAUAAAUAAAACCAACAUAACUAGAAUAAUAAAACCGAUAAAGUAUUACCUAAUAGUGGGUUGCCUCCCACUCAACGCUUUGUUAUAAUCAUUUAGCUUGACUUUGGAGGUGAUUUGGCUAGUAGUGUUGAAAGCUGGAACUUGUUGGAAAACAAGUGUCCAUCUCUUCUCUGCGCUUGUUGAACCAUGUACAAGUGAAUUCUCGCAUUGCUUCAUUCCCUCUGCGCCAUUUUUCCUUCAUUGUUACUGUUGUAUUUUCCAUCUUCUGCAAUCUAUCUCAAGACUCUCAAGGUGAAACCGAUGUCUUCUGAGUGUGGCGUAGGUGUCAACUGAGAUCUCCUUUCCCUGGUUGUGUGUAUCAGAUGUGUCUGAUGUCACCUUUGGUACUAGCCGGCCUCGGUUUCUAGCGUCGUCAACUGACAUCUAUCUAAGAAUGUCGGUCGAUUUGUUGUUGCCUUUGUCGGUCGAUGCUGAUGCUUCAGAUCGACGAGCGAUGUAACUCUGAAUCUCCACUAAUUCCCCUUGUAUAGCUUCUAUCUUGGAAGUCAAAUAACUAAUGCUAAGAUCCAUUGGGAAAUAGAUGUCAUCACAUCUCCUAUCAAGCCUCUCUUCUGAAGUUUCCACAGUUCUGUAGAUAUCUUCUACCAACUCAUCAAUAUCUGCUCUAGUGUGAAAAUCUGGUUGAGACUUCAUCGGGUAUGAGUUCUUUGGGUCGUCGUCGAUCGAUGUUGUGUAUUAUCUGUCGAUCGAUUCGGAGUGGUGUUUGUCGAUCGAUGGUGAUCAAUGUUUGUCGGCCGCACAAUGAAUCUUGGCUAUGUCUUGCCUCAUCUCCUCCAUGCAUGUAGUCAACCAACUUAUGCUAUCAUUCAGUGGAUAGUAAACACCAUCAAGCUUCAUCUGGAAAUCACCUUCAUUCUUUUCUUGGGCUCCACAAACUACAUAAAACAUCUCAUUGAUCUCAUCUUUAAUGUAGAUCUCUGGUACCAGCUUGGUCUGUGUGAGUGAGCUAGCAUGUUCUGGAAGACAUAUGUAGAUGUGCUCAUCUCUCGAAGCUCUUUCCAGUAGUUUUCUGAUAUCCUCCUUGGGCACAUUGAUGAUGUGUUCUUCCAUAUCUCUUGCACAUCCAUGAUCAUAGUUGUAGACUCCAUACUCAUCUUUCUCUUCACAGUAGAAUUUUCUGGUUCCAAAAAGGUCUAAAGCUCUUCUGCUGAAUUAUGGACGUCUGUCGAUCGAUGUUGGAAUGUUAACGUCGAUCGACGGUCGAGUCGGAUGUGUAUACUUUUUUCUUCAAGCAAUUGUCUAUGCCACCAGAUGUGUCAUAGACUUCUUUUGUAACCGUAUGAGUUGCUGGGAUUGUGCAUUGUUGCAUAAAGAGAUUGUCUGCUUCAUUAGCCAUCUGAAGAAUGUCUGCAAUGUCCUCUCUGGAUACUUGCAGUCCUUGUCCAUCUAUUGCUCUUGUGUAGCCAUCUGGAUCCAUAAAAAUACCAAAUUCGUCUGGUGUUAGAUACUGGUUAUCAAAAUUAGGGUUUUCGCUUACAGUGGAUUUCUGUUUUGGACGGAUGUCGAACGAUGAUGGAGGCUUUUCGUCGAUCGAUGGGCGGAUAGCUCUGUCGAUAGAAUGUUGGAAGCGUGUUCUUUCCCUAGUAGCUUCUGCUUGAUGUUGAUCUGCUUCAUCACGUCUUUGCAUGUUGAGAAGUUCCUCAUAAGUGAAACCUUCAUGAAGUUCAUCUACUCUGGGCUCAUUAAUUUCCGUUUCUACUGCAUAGCUUUCGUGAUGGUAAUCAUCUUCCCAACUCCCAAUCGAGUAAUCUCCUUCUCGCACACGUUGACUACAAUGUCGAUCGAUGGGUAGUAAUCAAUGUCGGUCGAUGAUCGUUUUCGGUUUGUAUGAUGAGGUUGAGUGUCGAUUGACGUCGAUAUUGUUCUGUCGAUCGAUGGUGCAUUCUUCUUCCAGGAGGAAUGAUGUAGAAGUUAGUCUUCCUCAUCUAGAAUUGCUUUGUACUCUACAGAUCGUUCCUCAUAAUCUGCAUCAUACUCCUUCGUAUGCAUGUUGUGUCUAGUGUAUGCUGCCACAGUAGGGUUGUAGUAGUCGUUCUUCCAAUCUUCAGGGCUACUGUCGAUCGAUUCUUCCCUUGGUGCGUCGGUCGAUUUCUGAUAGGCACUGUCGAUCGAUGUUGCAAUGUGAGUUUCGAUCAACGCCGAGUAUUCUGUCUCGUACUCUGCUCCACUGUGGCAUGCUGCAAUGAUUCAUGGAUCAUUGAUUCUUCUGGAGGACGUAUGUGGCUUCUUGACUGGAAUAAGGUUGUAGUGGACAUGAGGAUCUAUGAGCGUCAGGCACAACUGAUUUGUUUGCAGAUUGCACACUGCUCCUACUUUUACCAAGAAAGCUCUCCCAAGAAUAGAGAAGAGUUCUCAGGAACAAGUGUUGUUGUCGAUCGAUGAGGAACACGCUUCUUUUCGGAUUGAACACUCCAAGCUUGUAGGAUCUGGUGAGAAUAGCCGUUAAGUUAUCUUGUUGCGUCUGGUACUGCUGGGCAUGUACCUGAAAAUCCAAGAAAAAAAACUUUUGUCAGAAAUCAGUCUUAAACUUAACAAAAAUAAAAUCUAAUAAGCGAUCAAAGCUCCCCCGCAACGGCGCCAAAUUUGAUAUCACUCAAAUUACCCUAAGUAGUGAAUUACUCUCUCAAAUAAGAAGUUCAAUUGUAGUACUUAGGGAUCAAAUCCACUAGAGAUAGGGAACCUAAUAAAUCUAAUUGGAUUUGUUAAGUAAAAUGGUUUAAUGAUUUAAAUGUAAAGUUACAAUUGUUUGAGCAAGUAAUUGCUCGAUUGAUUGGUUGAGGUUUUGAUGCUUAAAAGGAAAUAGCUAGACUUAGGGUUUUAUUCAGGAAAUUUGGAAUUAUAAUCUUAUAGAUGCCUAACAAGUUGCAUGCAUGAUAUUGUAGAGCUCAACACUUAUAAACGAACCACUAGGCUUUCGCUUUCUAGGUUCGUCUAUUGACCAGUGUCGAUCGAUGAUUCUAUAUGAAUAUUGAUCGAUACACUCUUCGAAACGUCGACCGAUUAUUCUGUUUGAAUAUCGAUCGACGCUAUUGGUCAAGCGUUAAUGCGCGCGUUGAAUGUGCUCACAAAGAUCAUUAGAUCAGCUGUCACCUUUCUCUAGCAAGAAUCUUAGCUCAAUUAGAAUGGUUUCAGGAUGAGAUUAAAGCUAUCGCUUAUAUCUAACAAUCCUAGGGUAAGGUCUAGGUAGCUAAUCUAGAAUCAGAUAUUAAUGACAAUCCUAAUGAUUAAUAUCACAACUUAACAAUCUAUAGUUGGGGUUAAUCCUUCAUAACCUAUUUAAACCCUAAAAUUUAAGAAGGGAACUACUCAGACAUGGCCAAGUAAUUUAUAACAGCAAUAAGGUAUGAAAACUGCAUUAGAAUAGUAAAUAGAAAUCAAUGGAGUACCAAUCACAAAUAUAACUUUGGAUCUUCUCUCCAAUCUAUCAAAAUCUUCGAAAACCUUUGUUGUGAAAAUAGUAAAACAAGAAAGCACUAUUUGCCUCUAACAUGUUUGCAAAGCUUAUAUAAUUAGGUUAAAACUCGCCAGGGAUAAUCUUGUAAAUUGGUGAAGACUUGGGCUUCAAGUCGGCUGUGACCAAACGGGAUUUUUGCGCGCUUCGCUGUCGAUCGAUGUCAACAUGUGAACAUCGAGCGAUUAUUCCUCUUCAAUAUCGACCGAUGGUCGAGCUCGAUGGUCAUCUCGGGUGCUUGCUCCAAAUAUCUCCAAAAUGCUCCAAAAUCAUCACUUAUCUCCAAAUCACUCAUGAUCCUAUAAAUACUCAAAAUAGACUCUAUAAUAUAAUAAUUAAUAGUUAAAACACUUAUAAACCAUGGGUAAAAGUGGGUCAAAUCCAUAGUUUAUCAAAUCAGCUUUGAUUUGCUUGUUGGCUAGGUGAAUUUGGUUGCUAAGGUAAAGCCUUCUGCCAACCUCAUUUCUUAGCAUAAAUAAAAGUGCAGGAAUGGUCCUCCUCUUCCUCCAUGUCACUGUCAACAUCUACAACCUCUACGUCCUCUGCAAAGCUUAUUUGCUUCUUGAGAAGUUUGUGAACACUAUCCAGAUUAGCCUUAACAUCUCCCAACUGCUCCUUUCCUUGGGCAGGGGCCAAUUCUCUUCUUUCGAAAUCAGUGUUCUUGGUGUUGUUGCUGGAUGCCAAGUUCUCAAUAAGUCUCACAGCCUCCUCUAGAUUCCUUGUAUUGAAAUUUCCAUCACUAGCUGAGUCUAGAGCCAUCUGAUAUGCCAGCGCGAUGCUUCUAAAGAAAGUGCUGAGCAGCUGCACUUCAUUGAAUCCAUGAUGUGGACAGUCUCUCUAAUAUGACUUGAAUCUGAUUCAGGAGCUUUUGAAUGACUUUGUAGGCUCAUGUGUGAAUGUAGCAAUCUCAAUCCUCAAGUCUUCAGCGCAUGUCUCAUCAAAGAAGUGGCAUAGGAAUGCAUUCUUGAUUUUGGCCCAGGAUGUAAGAGAUCCUGGCUGUAACUUCUUAAGCCAUUGUGAAGCCUCUCCAGCAAGCGAGUACUUGAAGGGCUUGCAAAAGAGGUAGUCCUCAGGGACUCCAUUGGCUUUAAUAUCAGAAACUAGAUCCUCGAACCUUUCCAGAUGGUCCAUAGGAUGCUCGUGUGAUAACCCACAGUAGGGUGUCUGUCCCACGAGUGUGAAGUACUGAGGCUUCAACUCAAAGUCUUGCCUCUGUAUGGCUGGAAGACGGAUGGCAAAUCUGUUGUCGUAGUAUUGAUCUGUCCUGUUGUAAUCAGCUAACGUCCUCGGUCUAGCAGCUUCGUCUACAUCUUGAGCGGCUGCAAUAUCAGCAUCAAUAUCAGGAUUACAACCCCCUGAUCAUCUAUCUUCUGGCCUGCUGCAUUAUGUAGAUGACCCUCCUGGUCAUGCAUGUUUCCAGUCGCGUCCUAAGUUAGAAUUAAUGUCGCAACCAUGUUUCGCGGCUCAGUGUCGAUCGAUGUCCAAGGUGGAAUAUCGAUCGAUGACGGGUGGCUAUGGGCGGUCGAUGGAAGAGUGGUCUCGGUCGACGGUGGAAGGCAAGUGUCGGUGGAUGAGCAGGUGCUGUUGUCGAUCGAUACGUUUGCCUUUGCGGAUGGUGCGUUUUAGAAGUGAAGGAUCUGAAAAGAGAAGUGUUUGUUCCUUGUUACUUCUAGUACUGCCCUGAAAAGUCAAGAAUAUUUUUUAUCAGUUUUGGCAAAGUAACAAAAACCUAGACUAAACCUAACUAAAUUUGAUCUAAUUGCGAUCAAAGCUCCCUGGCGACGGCACCAAAUUUGAUAUCACUCAAAUUACUGAUUUUCCGGCUAAAAUCAUGAAAUUAUGUUUUCCCGCUAAUAUUAGUGAAAUUACGUCUUCCAUCAAAACUGUAAGAUCUUAAUUUCUUGCCAAAACUGUGUUUUCUCAGAAAAACUAUAUAAAUGUGUUUUCUUGUCUAUUUAGUCUUUGCGUAGAUGGACUAUACCAAUAGGUCUUUAGUCUGAUUGGAGCAUUUAUUAAUUGAAGACGUUCAUAGCAUAUCCAAAAUGAAUAGAACUAAGGGCUAGGCUGGCGCACAGAAAGUCUGCCCAUUGACGGGAAAUCGGCUAAUUCCUACAUCAACACAGUCCAGCGGUCCCGAUCAGUACAUAAACACAUAAGCUGUGCAAAUACAUACAUGAACACGUAGUUAAUUCAAAUAUCUUACACGAACUAACAAAAUUCGGUUUUUGCAUACAUUGACCAAUUAUCCGUUAGUCAAACGUAACGGAAUCUGAGCUGUCCGUUAUAUACCAUUACGUGGCUUUUUACGUUUUUAAAUAAUGAAUAAAUUAAUAAAAAUAAAAUAAAAGAUGGUUACAAGGGGGAGUCGAACCCUGGUUUGAGAUAUACCAAUCACAAGAAGAAACCAUUGUGCCAGACCCAACCUAUUGUUUAUAGUCCCAGUUGUUUCGUAUUUAUACAAAUAUUUCAUUCACAUAUUUCUUUUUUUUUCUUUCCAUGUUUGACUUAUCAUCCAAAUUGUUCCAAAACAAAUUCAAAUACUUUUUUGUUCUCUUUUUCCUUUUCUUGUGGAAAAAAUCAUUUUUGUAUAUUCAAAAAAAUAAAAUAAAAUAAUAUAUAUUAUUAAAAAGGGUUACGUACGUUGGAAUUGUCUUCUACCUUUAUUAUCUCUUUGUGAAUUUCUAUUUUUAAAAGAUAAUAUUUACUUUUAAUAAUCAACCCGAUAAACAAAAUUUCAAAUGUCCAUUACAAGCUUAAAUUGAACAAAACAAAACUAAUUCAAAUAUUGCACGUCUAAUUUCGUUCAACUACCACACCGGCGCGUUCCGCUAAACCGAUCUAUAAUCCUUAGUAAAAUCAAUUCCCUUUUUGAACUAGUUCGUUCUCUUGUUGAAAUCUUUAAUUUGCUUUUGUUUAAAUUUUGAGUAAAUUUUUUUUUAGUUUCCAGUAAUUGUAAGAGAACGUUAGAAACAUAAGGGUUUGCAAAUAAACUCAAAUUCAAACAAGAGGAAAUUAAAAAAUUUCAGCAAGAGAACGAUCUUUCGAUCUCUUUCUCACAAAAAUAUAGUAAAGCUAGAAAUAACUUCAAUGUAUGUGACCCCUUUUUAAUAAUAUAUAUUAUUAUUUUAUUUUUUUGAAUAUAUAAAAAUGUUAUUUCUUCCACAAAAAAAACAAAAAAAUAUUUGAAUAUUUUUUCAUUUUGUUUGGAUGAUAUGUCUAUUUUCUGAACAAUUUGGAUGAUAAGGUCAACCACAAUAUAUAUAUAUAUAUAUAUAUAUAUAUAUGUGAAUGAAAUAUCCAUUAGGUAUAAAUAGGAAAUCAUUGGGAGUACAAAUAAUAAGUCUGCCUUGGCACAGUGGUUUAGCAUGUGUUGGAUAUUGCUUAGACCCAGGUUCGAAUCCCCCCUCUAACCAUCUUUUAAUUUUUUUAUUAAUUUAUUCAUUAUUUAAAAAUGUAAAAAGCCACGUAAGCAAUAUAUAACGGACAAUUCAGAUUCCGUUACGUUUGACUAACAGAUAAUUGGUCAAUGUAUGCAAAAACCGAAUUUUGUUAGUUCGUGUAUGAGAUUUGAAUUAACUACGUGUUCAUGUAUGUAUUUGCACAGCUUAUGUGUUUAUGUACUGAUCGGGACCGCUGGACUGUGUUGAUGUAUGAAUUAACCGUUUUCCCGCCCAUUGACUCCACUACUAAGGAUGGAGUCUUUGAGAUGCACUUAUAGAAAACAAUAUUGACAUUGCUUUCCUUACAGAUUGCUUAGAUCUUCAUAUGAGCACCGGUCUUUCAGAUUGACUGGCUUUCUCGACCUAUUUAGACAAAUAUUACUCCUUCCUACCUUUUCCAGUCCCAUCAAUAAUUCAGCAUCCUAUACCCUUAUUCCCGACAAGUUGUUUGGUGUUUGGCAUAGUGAAACUCUACUUGAAACGUAUGCUGGUCCUUAUUUGGUCAUAAGGAUACUCAUUGACUGAGAUGGAUAGGAAUAGAGUUAUUAGUUGCCUUCUUCCCCCCUAAAAAAAUUGAGUAUUCCGCCAAAAUUGUAAAAUUAUGUUUUUCCACAAAAAUUGUGAAAUUACGUAUUUAAGUUAGAACCAUGAAACUAUGUUUUUCCGCUAAAAUCGUGAAAUUAUGCUUUUUCCGCUAAUAUUAGUGAAACUACGUCUUCCAUCAAAACUGUAAGAUCUUAAUUUUUGAAAAAAUAUAUAACUGUGUUUUCUUGUCUAUUUAGUCUUUGCAUAGAUGGACUAAUACCAAUUGAUCUUUGGUCUGAUUGGGCCAUUUAUUAAUUGAAGACAUUCAUAACCUAUCCAAAAUGAAUAGAACUGGAGGUUAGGCUAGCGCACGGAAAGUCUGCCCAGUUGACCACUACUAAUGAUGGAGUCUUUGAGAUGGGCUUAUAGGAAAACGAUACUGACAUUGCUUUCUUCACAGACUGCUUAGAUCUUCAUAUAAGUAACCGGUCUUUUAGAUUGACUGGCUUUCUUACCUUUUCCAGUCCCAUCAAUAAUUCAGCAUCCUAUAACCUUACUCCCGACAAGUUGUUUGGUGUUUGGCAUGAUGAAACUCUACUUGAAACGUACUAAUCAAAUUCUUGAAAGAUCAACAGCGUGUGAAAUCAUGCUCCAAGCACCGGUGACAUUUCUCCUUCAGAGUUUGAGAUUUUAUGCACACAAAUCGAAUGACAGAUAUAUACAAACUAUUAGUAGCAGCCAUUGAGGGUCACAGAACUCGAACGAAUGUCGAUAGAAAUAGUUUUACAUGAAAAUGGGUGAAACAGCAACAUAUAAUUCUUGGUCAUAGCAAUGUGUGAGCAUUGAUCAUCUUCAAGCGACCUGACACAAUUGCUUGCACAGAAACAUGCUUUCAGAUCGCUUGAUCAGAUACUCCCUCAAAGGAACUUAAAGCGCUGAUAACCGAUUCAUAUACUUCUAUUCCUUUCAAGAACACGGUAUCUUUAAGAAACUGUAACAGAGAAAGUAUAUAUUUCAAUCAGCGUUGUGAUUCAAAAUAUGGAACACAGAGAUAUGCAAAGAGAUAAUAUCAUCGUUCCAAUACCUCGUUAUGGUCAUGCAAUAAGAUAGGAGUAUUGAUCAUUGGUGAGAAACCGACAAGUGGAAUUCCCAAAGUGCGAAUAUAGCGUGCAUCUGUGGUUGAAGCCAAUAUUUCAGGCUUUGCGAGUUUUCCUCCGGUUGCUUCAACAGCUUGCUUGAAGACAGACCACCAAGGAUUCGAACCAUUAGUUGCAGUCAUUAUCGGUCGUCCAAAAUGGUCUCUUAGUUUCCCUUUCUCUUUUAUCUGGUGGAAGAGAUGGUAAAGUUAGUUUUGUUCACUUAGUUUCCUCUGAUAACAAUUGAUCAAAUUGCAAAAGGUAGAUACUAUACGGCAUAAUCAAUCUCCCUAAACAAAAGCCUAAAACAUUUGUAACAUCAUUAAUGAAAGUACAUAACUUUGUAGCUGCAGAUUUACUUAAGAUAUACUUAGGACAUCUCAGAUUCUUGUAUCAAAGCAACUAAAACAGAGGUUUGAUAAAAUAAAACGUUCUUAAUCAACUAGAGAGAUAAUUAUUCAAGGUAUCAUUCGCACCCAGUAACCUCAUUUUCACAAAACUAAUGUGGAAGCUCCGAAAGAAAGAAGCCAAAUAAUCUAAAACAACAAAUCAGAGUUACCUAAAAGCCUAAUGGAGUCUCUGUUUCAAUUAAGCUUUGCUUAGGACAUCUCAUCAUAUCCUUGUAUAGUUGUAUUAAAGUAACUAAAACAGAUGUUUGGUAAUACAAAACAUUCCAGGUAUUCAUUCAUAACUAAGGUGGAGGCUCUAAAAAAAAAGAAACCAAAAUAAUGUUUAACCAAUUUUAUAUUCAUAUAUACCGUGUAGGUCAUGUUCCUAAUAGAAGGAGCCCAUUCCUCAGCAAUUCUUUUCUUCAUAACAUCAGGAUCAGCCAUUGGAGGCAACCUUAGAUCAUACCCAGCUUCUGCCUC
rnacentral:lncRNA from 1 species